UUGCCUCUUCAUUCUUGUAGCCAUUGCUAAUGCACAAGCACCUGCAGCCUCACCUUCUGUCUUGCCAACUCCCACGCCAGUUGCAGCCACACAGCCACCCUCAACUCCGGUCAUACCCGCACCUGCAACCACUCCUGUAGCAUCACCCUCUCCUAAAGUUUCGCCAGCUUCGAGCCCCACUGUCCCACCCCCUCAAGUUCCACCACCACCAAAUCCACCAGUCUCAGCUCCAGUGCAACCACCAGUGCUACCAUCGCCACCUGUUGCUUCACCUCCACCUCUGCCACCUUCCAUACCACCACCACAGGUAUCCCCAGCACCAGUCCAAGCACCACCACUGCCAGCACCAGCGCCCCCACCCCCAGUGCCCCCACCCCCCGUGCCAGCACCAGCGACCCCACCACCAGCGCCAGCACCAGCGCCUCCACCACCAGCGCCAGCACCAGUACCUGUACCUCCAACCCCAGCUCCAGCACCAGUACCAGUGCCCCCAGCCCCAGUCCCAGCACCAAUUAGCGAGCCACCGGCACCUGCACCAGCCCCUACCAAGCACAAGCACAGGAGAAGGAGACACAAGCACAAGAAGCAUCAUCAUCAUGCACCAGCACCUGCACCAGUUACCCCAAGCCCCCCCGCACCACCUACAGUCCCUGAGGCUGAGGAAACGGCACCAGCUCCAUCACCAAACUUGGUAAUGUGUUCAGUCAGCUAAAAUAAUUAAUUUCUCAACUUCCAGUUUAGUUUCUGAAUGAAGCAUAUGCUUUUGAAAAGACAGAGUAAUCAAAUAUCAUCCAUCUCAUUUGAUCAUAUCAAAAUGUUUUAAAUGACUUUUUCCUCUUUUUGGCAACAGAAUGGAGGAAUUGCGCUGUAUCAACAGGGAGGUCUUGCAGCAAUGUGGGCAAGGACCGCAUUAGUUCUUGUUGCUGUGUUUGCUGUUUCGUGCUACAAUUUCUAGUGAUAUUUGUUUUGUGGAGCCAUGAUUCUAUAGCUUUACUUAAAAGGGGUUGGAUUGUUUCAAAUUUAUGUCAUAAGAUCAAUGAAUUAUUGAUAGAUGUAGAGAAGAAUAAAACGAGAGAUUUUGGUGGUUUGGUAUAUUUUUCUUAUUCAAUUGUUGCAUGGUCAAUAUAUAAUAAAAUUGAAUUUGAACUAUACACCAUUACAGAGGAAGGGAUGUUUUAAGGAAAACCAGAACAGCUCAAUGAACUUCAAUGUUGCAUGUAAAAUGGAAAAAGAAAAAAUAUAGAUAACUUAAUUGCUGCAUUUCAAACUUGAUCUGUAUUUGAGUCUGCACUGAUAUUCUCCCGCAAAUCAUACUCAACCACAAGGCCUAAAUUAUCAACCAAUUUGUGAUGCUGAAGACACCCUGCACACUGAUGAGAAGAACUGCCUGUUGGUGAUGAUAGACCAAAGAUUUAAAAAAUAUUUAAAAUGAAGGACUAUAAACCAUCUUGCAGCACAGAAGUAAAAUUUGAGUGUCUUUCAAAUGUAAACAAUGUGAAAACAUACCUAAUCAAACAGGUUGCUUUGAUUGAAGGCAUGGUAGGUAUAAAGUCACUAGUACAGAAGUUCAAGCAUGGCUAAGAAACAAUUUUAUGUCUAUAACAACUAUACAAGGAUAAAUUUUGUUCCUUCAUGGUAUAACUGGAAUAGAACCCUGAGGGGUAGCUCAGUUGGUCCGGCCUUGGGUUUGCCCCCCAAUGAUCACCAGUUCGAGUCCCCUCAAGGCCACUGGAGGUUUGCCCAAUCGUUAAUCAGGGCCACGUGGGAUUAGUUGAGGUGCGUGUAAGCUGACCCGGACAUCCACGGUUAUAAAAAAAAAAAACUGGAAUAGCAUAUAGAGAUUAAAGACACCUAGUUAUAGAGAGAAUCUAGUGGUGGAGCAAAUGCCAAACAGGGAAAAGAACUAUUGCAGAAGCAAACAUUAAAGAAAGCAAACUCUAAAGAGUUGAAUGGCAAUGAUAACCAAGCAACCGAACUACAUGGAACCAGGCAUAAACAGGUCAUAUCUACAGUAUAACAUAUGUCACGCUUGCUUCUACAGAAGUACGCACUGCACUUGAAAACACAACCAAGCCAAGUUGCAACUUUGAAAAUCCAAUUGGGUUAAAUAUUUUAUGUUGAUUUUAUUUUCAUCUAAAUAAAAUCCUAACUUCAUCUUAUAAAAUUUUGACAAUUUCAUGUUUAUAUAUUCUAAAAAUAACUAAAUCCCAUAUUCCAUUAUCUCUCUAUAUAUAUUUUUUUGAUAGGCAAACAAAAACUCUGAUUAAAGGCGUCCAACAAAAUACCCAUCAUUCCUGUUUACUUUUUGAAGCAAUCACUAAAAAAAAUGCAAUGAAAAUUGCAUUUGCAUCAGGCAGCAUUUUCAUCUGGCAGCAUCCAAUCAAGAAUCAACUUAAAGGGUUCUCUACAAGGGCACAUUUUUAUGACAAGUGAAAAUCAUAUUCAAGCAAGGGAAAAUUUGACGUUAAUGAUCAAUUCAAAUGAAUGUUAACUCCUAGGAUACACCUUCCCCAACAAGUAGGAAUAUCAAUUCAUAUUUUCAUGAGCAAGUAGAAACCUAUCUUUAUAAACACAUGUAACAUGAUUCUUCCAAUGCAUAUAAUGGAUACAAAUUACAGUGACAGCUAAACAUCCUUGACAAACAAAUGAAGAAAAGAUGAAUUUUAAUAACAUUAUCAUCAUCAAGAAACGUAUCACAGGAAAUCCAACAUGAUAGCAAUGACCAGAACAAAUACCUGCACAAAAACAGUCCCCCGUUCAAAGGCUAAUCGAUUUAUAAGCCUUUCUGUUCUUUCACCACAAGCAUCACAAGUAAAUUGCACAAUCAAACUUCUUCUUGGGAGUUUUAUGUCAAUACUUGCUUCCUACAUGAAGGAAAUGCCAAAGAAGAUAGAGAUCCCUUCAAGCAAUCAGUAAGAAGAAAAAUACAUAACUUCUAGAGGUUGUAUGAUCUUACAAGAAUUCUUUAAUAAAAAUAAAAACAAAUCAUAGAACUUUGAGCAUGGUUACUUUUCAGUCAUAAAAUCGCUUCAUCUUCAAAUCAUUCAAAGCAUUCUAGAAGUUCCUGACUUCCCAAACAAGCAAAAGAACCCCAAAUUUAUCCCACUAAAUUAAAAAAAUUCCAGAAUUAUCCAUAUUUCUAAUCAUUCCAAGUUAUUCAAAAUAAUAGUAGAAUGCAAACCCAUCAUAAUCCUUUUCUUGACAUGAAUCCGGAUUUGAUGUUGGAAACACCUACAGCUCUGAAUAUAAACCAUUCUUUCUUCUACAUAGAACCAUUCACCCUCAAAUUCAUUCUUGAUUUUUCUCCAAACCAUUCCCAUUCUUGAUUUUUUACAAGUCUCUCCUGAAUUCAGAAAAUUUCAAAUUCUGAACAACUACUGACCAUUUGAAUUUCCAAUGGUUCCUGAAUCCUGAAUUUUUUUAUUACAGAAUAUACAGUUAAAUGCUUUCUAAAACCCGGACAGACCAAAACAGUUCAAAACAAAUAGAUAAAUAGAAGAAAGCAAGAAAUGAAAGCCCCUACUUGCAUUCAGUGCGUAAAUUGAAAAAAAAAAUGCUUGAGCAAUGUCAAAAACCAUUGGAAAUGAAUAAGGCAUUGGUGGAUUGCAAAUGGUUAAUGCAAAUUAAAUGAAAGAAAAAUACCAAUAAUUAAUUAAGCUUAAGCUAAAAUAUUAUCAUACUGAGCAAGAAUCAUCAGAAACGGAGUUUGAAUGAGAGGAAGAUGACACUGAAGGUCCUAAUUCCAGGUUCGCUUCAGAAUUGCCAUCCCGAAACCCAGAAGCAGCCAAAACCCGAAACCCAUAUUUUGGUGCUACUGUUGUAGUAGGAGAAACCCUCAAUCUGAAAAUAAUAUUAAAUAAACAAGGGUUCUAAUAGUUCGAUUUGAAAAGUAAAAGAGCAUCAAAACAAAAAACACAAAGAGAAACCCUAGAUGGGAAUCAAGAUUAAUGACCUGGAAAAUCUGGUCUUGGGUCUGAAGAAGACAGUGGAUGGAGCAGGAAGUUCAAGUGUUGUGGUGGUGAAGGACGAGUGGAGAGAAGAAAUGGUGGGAAGAGCCCUGCACGUGGUUGCAGCCAUUGAUGGGGUGUUUACAGUUUGAUUCAAAUUUUCAAAAAGGCCUUUUUAUCAAUUUUUUUUGGUGGGAAAAAAACCCUAACCCUAAUUCUGUUACCAACCCGAACCCCAAAAUACCAACUUUUUUCGUUUGUUAACAACGCUGAUACGCGACGACGACGUUUGAUUUGCUCCGUUUUGUGGCCAGCGAUCGUAAACAAAACCAAGGACGAAAAUAUGGUGAAAUAUUUAUCGGUAAUACAAGUAAAAUAUCAAUCAUAAAUGAAAAAAAAAUAAUCAUUGAAAAUUUGAAGAUAUAUUAGAUAUAUCGAUGAAAAAUCGAUAAAAAAUUAAAUUAUUAUAAAUAAAUUAAUUUUAAUUAUCUUAUAAUUUAUUUUGUAUACUAAUUAAAUAUAAAACAAAUAUAAAAUCAUAAAUAAAAUUAUGAAUAUUUUUAAAUAAAAAUAUUUUGUAUCAAAAUGUACCAAUAUUUUAUAAAUAAAAAUCAUAAAUAUAUUUAAGUAACAUAAUUAGUAGAUUUGUAAUAAUUUAUUUUUAAAUUAGUAUAACAUUGAAUUUAAAUUAGUAUAUUUUUAUAAUUAAUUAAUAUAUUUUUAAUAGAGGUAAGUAAAUUAACUUAAUAUAGUAAUAUAUUUAAAUCACAUGAUUAGUAUAUUUGUAAUAAUUUAAUUUCAUAAUGAGUCUAUACUUACAAAAUUCAUAUUUCUUAUCCGACACUAUAUAAUUAAAUUUAAUAUCACAAAUCAUGCCAUACAUAUAUUAAUUUCUUCAAUAAAACAACUUUAAAAUAUCUAUUAUAUUUAUAAUUUCAUUUUUUAGAGUUUUUUUCUUACAUUUUCAUAAGUUUUAAUGAAUUUUUGGUCUAUCAAAUAUUUUGUAUCAUAAUAUCUAUCAAUAUAUCCGUAAAAUCUAAAUAUAGAUAUAUCCGUGAUUAUUAAUAUAUUUAUCUUUAAACAAAACAUACUAAAACGGAGAAAUAUUUACUACAAUAACAAUCCACCAAAACAACCUCCGUUUCAUUUCUUUUUCAUGUUUCCCCAUUUGCUAGUAGAGUCUUACUUCAAUCUUAAUCCUGAGAUUUGGGCAUUCUUUUUUUCUCAACUCCGUAAGGUUUUUCAACACUGAGUGCUAACAAAAUUUGAUUAAAAAUCAAUGCAGCAAUCUUCAAAUCAACCCGGGUUUUGGUGGGUGCUGGACUGGUUGAUUUAUACUCAAAAACUUUGGCAAUUGACAGGGAUCUCUCAGAAGAAACACUGUCCAUGGAAAAUGAACAUUACUGAUGUUUGUGUUGAGGGUUCAUCUUUGGUGACAAUGAUGGAAAGAAUAUAUACUGGUGUCAACUAGAUAUUAACACAAGGGCACUUUAUUUCACUGUCAUUCAAUUGAUGAAGAUUUUGUAUACAAGUAUAAGCCAUUUCCCAGACCUCAAGACUGAAUAAUAGACAGGGAGAUGACAUCUUGUCACAUCAACUUGUAUAAGGACAAUUAGGUUCCUUUCUGAACCAUAUGGCCAAAGAAGUAAAGAACAUCUGUGACAUUCCAAAUCUAUUCCUUGAGCAACUGUUGCCAAUGGGCAUCAGUCUUCAUCAUCCACUUCAUGAAAAGGAAGUGGCACUGUUUUAACAGCUCUGAACUUGCCUGCAUUAUUUAGAUGCUCAUUCUCCAACCUGGGCCAUGACAGACAAUUCUUCAUUAGCUCAACUAGAGUGGGAGAUAUGAGUAUUGUUGACAGUUACAUGUGUGUGUAAUAAAGAGUUGGAUCCUCUGAAAGUUGGGAAAUCCCAUGUUACCUGUAGAAAUUCCACUGUCCUCUUCUAAUGACUUCAAGGGCAGCUAAAAAUAGCCCGGUUACUCUGUAAUCGACACCUUCAAAGUUGGAAUGGAGAACAGUUUGCAACCAAGCAAGCCUGAGAACAAGGUUCAGUCCCUGCAUGACAUAUCAAAUAUUUGUUCAAAAGCUUGACCUUGAGAAGUACAAAGUUUGCUUAUAUAAUGUGUACUUCAAGAUCUUUCCAUUUUAUAAAUGGCCUUCUACAAGUAGAUUUUAAGAAUUUGUUAUAAUCCCUUUGAGACUUGCUCAGUGAUAUUGAUGAUCUGAAAAGCUAAGCUAAUUUUCUGUUUAGAAUCAAUGGUUGGUUAGUGGGUUGAGAUGGGUGCAGACUGAAUCCUAAUUGCCCAUAGGAAGCUUAAGAAAUUUCAGUGCAGGGAGAGAGGGUUCUAACAUAUACCAUGGAGAAGUAGUAAAUGAUUUUUCGGCGAAGCAUUAAUUCAUUUCUUAGCCAGGGGUUCUUGGAAUGGAACUGGAGCAAACCCCAAUCUCUUACAUAGUCCCAAUACAAUUGAUACACUGUUGCAGCACUUGACAUAACCACAACAAGGCAAAGCCAUCCAACACUCCUCUCCUUCUCAUAGGCCACUUUGGCUCCUGCUGCUAACAUCGCCGAUACAUAUUUGCCCAGAUUAACCAGAUGGGUCGUCUGUCCUUCAUCAAACCAUCGCCUGGCACACUGCAAAAGCCCAAUCAAGCAGAAUCCUUAUUAGGAAUAUUGUACUGCUUUGGAAAAUUUCUGCAAUAUGAGCAAAUCUCAAGUUCUAGUUUAAGCAGAAAGGUUGAUUAUAAACCUGCAUAGCUCUCCAGUAAUAAGGCAAGAAGGAAACAGCAUAAGCAAGAUCUCUGUAGUGCUUGGUCCUCAUGCAGAACCCAUAGUCCUGAGUUUUGAAGCUUCCUGUUAUAUAGUAACAAGCCACAUACUCAAGGUUCCUGAGCAUCGGCACCUAUUAAACCAUAAAGAUAUUCUAAUAAAUCAGCCACUCAUACAAGUUAAAGGCUUCUGAUUAGCUAACAAAGAGGCUUGAUUUGUGAUCAAACCUACCUGACUACAGAGUUGGUCAGCCAUGAAGAAAUCCAGCAUGACAACCUGCAAAGGCAAUAAGAUAAAUCAGUUAAAAAGGGAGCUGGCAUAAAACUUUGUUUUUAAUGUUCAACAAGAAAAUUUCUGCUUAUGCCUUUGUAAUUUUCCGAAUAUGCGAUCAUGACUAAUACCUUGUAGAGAGGGGACAAAAUGGUAUUCCUUAUCACCCGAAGGAAACGAUAACGGCUUGAUUUAUAUAUGAUGUUGAAGGGGCACACAAGUAGUAGCAAGAAUAGCUGUAUAAAGAUGAAAGUUGAAAUUCUAGGUUAUGACCAACUAAAAAAUAUGCUAUGUCAAUUUCAAGUUCAGAACAAUAUAUUGUAGGCUAGAAGAAUUACCAGGCACAGCAGACCGGGGAUGGCUUGAACUCGGCUAUAUGAAUUCCCUUUUGCCACAAGUGAUAAGUGAACAAACAUAACCCCCACCACAGCAGUCAUUGACGUAGUACAGAUCAAAAAGACAUCUCUGUAUUUAAGCUCCUUGGUGGGAGCCAGCUCAAAGAUGAAGCUAUAAUUUAUACGAGCCUUUCUCCACAUGACAAUGUUGCAACCAUACAAAAAGAAGUGUAGAAACAGUAGACUGAACAUGCUGCAAAAAGAGCAGUCUGUAAUAUUAGAUGCCUAAUCAUAAAAAAUUUCAAGAACUUCACAUGAGAGGUGGUCUUAAGAAAACGCCAUCAAUGAGUACUUACCUAAGCACAGGGUAGACAGUCUCCAUGUAGAUGGUAUCUGACUGCCCUCUGUACAUCCCUGAAAUAUGAGCCAUGAUGACAUAUCCAGCAAACAGGGCAAUGAAGCAUCCGGUGAAUAGCCCUGAAACAUACAAGGGAAAAACAAAAUUAUAUUAAUGUGUACAUUCUUGAGUCAUUAAUAGAAUUUUUUCUAGAUAAUAAGUUAUGGAUGUUGCCUUAUAUGGGCACAGGUUGCAGAAUGUGAAACGAAUACUUCCUGAUCUGGUAAAUUGGAAGAAGUAUGAUUUAGGGGCACAAUUAUACAUGUGAAUAGAGCAAAACAUGAAGCGCUAUUAUACACGCUCAUCAAUUCAUGGUGGGUCAUUUCUUUUUUCUUUUUUCUUUUUUCCUCAUUUGAAUGUAGAAAAAAUUAUGAGGGAGUGCUGCAGGAGACUUUUGGGGUUGUUAGUGUCCAACAUGCAUCCAAUACAUGUACAAACAUGUUUGCUUCACUCAUUUAGAAAGUGUCCAUGCAAUAUAACAAGGUGUUGCACAAAGAAAGCUAACUGUUGCCUCUUUUGUGUUAAUGUGCCUUUUAAGGUUCAAUCUAUGUAGGGUCAAUCUUGUUUUCACAUGAUAAUGGUCUAUAUUGGACCCUAACUUUACGAUCCACCAAAAAAGUAAAUCAGGUAUGACCCCUUGAUGCAGCUUUGUGGCAGAAUGGGGCCUUACAUAUUUUUUCCCUUUUGUACCUUUGUCACUGUGAAUCUGUGACCAAGCUCACUAGCUCAGAGGACUCCACUAAAAGAAAUGGUCAAAAAAGAAAAUAUAUUAUCUUGUGUGCUUUAUUUCAUUAAUCCCAGUUCUUAAAAUAGUGCAAGGACCUCACCUAUGAAGAAGGUUACUGUGUGUGAUUCCUUCCUCUGAUGGGGUUUGAGGUAUUUCAUGGUCUUUCUUUUAUCUUCCUCAGCAAAGUGUUUGGUAAAGAGCUCCUCAACCUCAUCCUCUAACUUCAUUACCUGUAAUUUCUGAGACAAGUUAGCAGGACUUCAAUGCAAGUGUGAGACAAGCAUAUCUAAGUCAGAUCCAUUUAAAUCUAAGGCCAACCCUUGUGCAGAAAUGCACUUUUAGAGUCGAUCACCACUUGAAGUUGUCUCCGAAUAAUCCGAAGUGUGGCAAACAUCCCCCAAUAGCAAUUACCAUUAUGUUGUAUAACAUAGCUAGGCGUGACAGAUUCUACAUGUUUUACUUGGUUGGUUGGCUUAGUAAUUUACCUUGUCUGAGCUGUUGAAAUAGGAGCUUUCAACUACUUUUAGAUAAAUGGGAAGAACUUGUUUUCCUGUGACCUGAAAAAAACAAAAAAAAUUCCUUUUUAUUUACAGAUACAAACAAAAAAAAAGCAACUUUUGAAUACACAAAGUCAUCAAUUAUUUACCUUGUCAAACUUCUUCAAGAUCUUUACAAAAGCUAGCAUGUUCAAGUUCCUAAAAACAUAUUCAUUGCAGACCGCACAUAAGAUUAUCGCUCAUACUAAAGAUUAAAAAAAUGUAACAGCUUUUGAUAUGUCACCUGUAGGUUUUUAGAUAACCCAACCCUUUGUAAAGCUCAAUGAAAGCUCCUUUAAUCAUCUUCUCUGCAUGAUGAAGCUUUGUUUUGUUGAUGUUUAGUUUACUUCCUUCUGGACCACAUUUCCUUGAGGACUGAUUCACCAAAUCUCCCCAAACUAAGUAACUGAUUGCUGAUAAGGUACGAGAAGGUGUUGUCAGGGGAAUGUUGAUCCUUAAGUUCUUCCCCUGGCAAUUGAAAACACGGCCAGAGAGAGUCCUCAGUUUCCCAUCCUCUCUUUUCAUUCUCAUUGAUUUCCCCAUCUCAUCCGACUUUAGGGAGUCUGAGAAUUGCACAUCAUUGCUCUCAAACUCAUCCGCAGUGUUGUCUUGGGCUGGCUCUUGCUCUGUUUUGUCCUUAAUGGACUCUUCCUCUGUAACCAGCCAUAAGACACAAGUGGCAGCUAGUUUAGUAAAAUUCAUGGAAUUUUUAAUGUAACAUUUGAUUCUUUUUAUACUAUUCUCUCUCAUGUACUACAAAACUAAUUAAUCCAUCCAGAGCAAAGUGAAUCUGGAGCCUUAGAGGACUAGUCUGUUGCACAUUUGCUUAGUACUUGUGUUCAAGAACAUGGAAUCCAUCAGUACCCCAGACAAGAGAGCAGAGAGCAGAGAGCAGAGAGCAGAUACUAUUAAGAUGGAUGUAUGGAUGGAUAAUGGAGAGGAGAAGAGAACAUGUGUGAUAUAUAGAUUGUAAGAAAUAAAAUUUUUUUUAGGGUAGAUCAAAGAAAGUGCUGAUGAAAUGAAACAAAUUGAGACAAAAGAAACCCCUUAAAGAUGGAGCUAACAGAAGGUGGUAUGCAUUCCAUUUCUUACUGCAAAUGUGUUUGAAAUAGAGAAAGGAGGUUAUAGUUAUGUACCACAUGAAAUGGUGCAGGAAAUAGAGGCAUCCUCCUUCGGGUCCUGGGCAGUGGAUCCUUUGUUACGCUGUCGCUUCAGUGCAGAUUUGAGCUCAAUGAGAAUCUCCAUCUGCUCCUUCAAGGACUCUCCCCUCUCGAGGAACUCCUUCUCCUUUGUUCUGUAAAACUGAUUCACUUUGUUAAGUUGCAUAUCCAAACAUGCAAAAAACUCAUUUGCAGCAUCAGUAUCCGCAAUUUGCUCAAGCAAUUCAGUCUCAUAAAGGUCCCCUUUACUAGCUGAUGACGCGAGUUUCUUGUGAACCUGAUCAACACAGUGAAUUCACAUGAAACCAUAUCUAUAUCAACAAAAACUACUGAAACUAAAAGCAUAUAUACAUAUGUGGAGGGGGGUUGUUGUGGAGACAGAGAAGGAGAGAUAAGGAGAGGGACAGUACUUGAAUGACCCCAUGGUCUUUACGUUCAUGGCCAAAUAAAGAGAACCUCCUUAUAGAGGAGAAGAGGGUUUUGGGCAAAGAGUACUGUUGGUUGGCGGUGGGAAUGUUGUUAGUGGCGGUGCUAAGAAGAUGGAUUUUCUUGAUGUCCUUCUUGAGUUGCCAGUAAUCAACAAAGGCCUCUUUCCAUUCAGGAACAAGCUGACCCUCAAACUGCUUAGAGAACUUCACCAUCUUUCUCUCUAUUUGGCUUUCCCAGAGAGAGAUGAAAUUCUAGCCAGAUGAUGUGUGAAGGGGCUUGUGAGUGUUUCAAUGGUAGCCCAUCAUCCCUUCUUUUAUGGUCAUCGAAAAUAAGUGACUGAUGUGCAUGAUGCUCGACAGCACAUUCUAAAAUAUCCUAUGCUCUCUCCACUUGGAAGGUAUACAUCUUGAGUGGCAAGGUUCGCCGUAGAAUGACCCAACCGCCGUCCGGUGAUGACUCCUCAGCCAACAUGUUCUCUUCAAAUGUUGAAAAAGUGGAAUUGUAAAAGUUGAUGGAUGUGGGACACAACCCAGUUCAAAAAUAUAUAUAUAUAUGAGAAAGGAUCAAUGGUCAUUUGGGGGCAUAACAUCUUGGAUAACUGCCCUGCAAUAUCUUACUUGUAAGCCAGGAACUGCUCCUUUGUAAAAAAGGGAAAACCCCAUUGGCUGAACCAUGUCCAAGCACACAAAAGUGACCUCUAAUUUGACCAGCUUGGUUUCCACUAGAUUUGGGAUAACUAAAAGUUCUCAAUUAUGUUUCAUUCCCACUUUCACUAAUCAAUCCUUUUUGUUUAUAAUGUAAAUUAAAGGCAAAAUACGAUAUGUUUGGCUUGUAUAAGAUCAUCAACCACCAUCAAAUAUAUCAUGGCAGAAACUAUUUACUGGGGUUGCCCAUAUUCCAAAACUGCUUAAACAGAGGACGGUAGAAGAUUGAAUUGACAGCAUUCCCCAUUUCAUUAGAGUGGAAUGAUGAGGGAAUAUAUUAGGUAAAUCAUCGUCAGAUUCCUUAUUUCAUAGUCUCCAGUAAUUAGGAUUUUCCCCAUGAUAUGACACUAAGAUAACUGGAUAAGCGGUUUUCAGACAAGUAAAUUAGGCAUAAUUAGGCUGCUAGUAGUACCAGUAGCAGAAGUUAUUUCAGUGAAAAGGUUCCUUCCCAAAUUCUAUUAUUCCCUUGUUCCUAUGCCACAUUCCACCCAACUUGUCAACAUGAAACCUUCCACUAAAACAACAAAAUUCAAAAUCCAAAAUCCGCAACCGUUGUUCUGUCUCCUCCUGUAUCAUCUCUCUCCUUCAAUUUUUUCUUCCCACACAUAGAUUGCAACAUCAGCAUGAUGAUUGUGGAAAAUUGACAGCGUCCCUCUUAGUGGCUGACUCAAAGAUACGCAAUUCUUUUCGUCUUGCCAUCUCUCUCUCUCUCUCUCACCCUCAUUGUUUUGCUUUUCUUAUAAUCCCUAUUCUUAGAAAUUAGUAGUUAGUACCUUCUAAAUAAUCUAAGAAGAACAAUUACAGUACAAUUUGAUACUGGUACUAGCAUUUUCUUGUGAUGCCAACAGGGGUAGAUAGAUACAUGUACAUACAAGAAUAUGUAAUAUGCGGUAUUGAAUCCAAUUCGAGAAUAAAAAUGUCGAAAAUCAUACCAAAAUAUGCUACCAACGGAGACUAGGGACCAUGACUCAGGUGCCUGUAAUUAUCAAAAAUAGUAAGCUAAAGAACACAAGUGAUGCAUGGUAAAGAGUCGCGAGAAAGACACUGACUUUGAGUUCAUUUUGCCUAAAUUUUUUGGUGGGGCGAUUUUUGGGUAGCAGCACUGCAAGUGGCUGGAGAUGGUAGUGUUAUUCCACAAGUGAAUUGAGCCACCAAGCACAUCCCAUUCAGCCCCUCAGAUAGAAAAUGCCAUGGAUAAACCAGGGGAAUAAGGUUGCUCAAGCACUUUACCAUGUCUUCUCCUUCAAUCAAUAUUCAUUUCCUUUUUCUUGGACUGACCAUUGAGUAGUAUGCGAAUGAUUCCAGCAUAUGCGCCAACCCAAGCAUCAUGUAACAGAGCAUGCAGAGCAUAGGUACCGAGAUCAACUAGUGAAAUGCUAGAGCUUGAUGUUUGGAUGCUGGGAAAACUCUAUUUCUAAUUAAUCUUACAUUUCUUGGACAUUUAUUUGAUGGUCUAAAUUAGAGAGGAAUGUAAUUCCACGCAGAACUUCUUGAGCUACAAAGAGAAGAAAACGUGCCCGCAAAAUCUAAGCCUUGCAUUGCAUCAGACCAAUGACUGACCAUAAAAAUGAAGGUCUGAUUCGGAUAGCACAUAUUGGUGCGCCAUCUUAGUCACCCACCUCUCCCUCCUACCUUUCCUCUUUUCAUUAUUUACAUUAUCAUCUUAUACUCUUCUGUUGUGAACAAAACAGACUACCCCACUUGCCUAAUGAUCAAAAUUGACUCCAAGAACCAUUACUCAUCAAUCAUAGGCCUCAAGAUGGUCAAUGAAGCUCUGAGAAAUACCAUGUUGGAUGUGAAAAAUUCAGUAUUUUUCACAAGUGAAUUAACUAUAUGGUAAAUUCUGGGGCCCCUCAGAGGGUGAGCACAUGUAUAAAGUGGCUUGCUGUAGAGGAAAAGAAAAAGAAAAAGAAAAAGAAAAAGAAAAUGAUACUCAUCAUUUCAAGCCAUUCAUGUAUGUACCUCUACUCUCAUCAUCUGUUAUGGAGAUGGGAUGAGUUAAUUUAAAAUGAUAUUCCACUCUUCAACCGUACACCCUAUCAAGAUAAAAUUAUUUGAGUGUAAUGACUGGCUCCAAGUUCAAACUUCCAAAGUAUGAGAAAGACGAUUCCAAGCAUACGAUUCCAGAUUUGAUUCCAUGGAAGGCCCUUAAGUUGAUGGAAAAAUGCAUUUAUCAGAAAAGAAUAUCCCACUUUAGCCAAGGAAAUCCACCUGUUUUCCCUUGUAAAAUGGAUUAAAAACCCAUCUAUUUUCCAUAGAUUAUAUAUUGAUUCAAUCAAGUCAUAUAUAUACCUUCUUUUAAGAACACCCUAGAGGGUUCUUCCCCCUUGAUGGGUCAUAUUGGUACAACAUUAGACCAUAGCCACCAUGGAUUUUCUGGAGUAUAUGCCCAACUUUGCAUCUGUCAUGUUUGAACAUCACAUGGUUUAGAGAGCAGGUAAGGGGGUUCUGAUUCUGAGCCAACGUGUUAAGAACAUAAAAUAUUCCUCUGAGUUGGGCAUGCAGAUAAUGGAAAUUUGGAUUGGACUGGUUUGAUUUAUGACUCAAUGAAUUAGUACCGUGUGUCGCGCUUUAUUAACUUAUGAUUGUACUCGGUGAUUAAAGUAUUGUUAGUCUUGAAAUGGCUAUACGAAGUUAGGUUGUAAGCUUAAUCAAACUGACCCUGAAAAGAGAUUUUGAUUCUUUGUAGGUGUUAAGAAUCAAAAUCUUCAAUUGGGAUAGCAGAUAAGAAAAUCUUAGUUAGAUGCGGAUGAAUGAAUACCAUAUGUUGGGCUUCAUUUUCAGGAAUGAAGACAAACAUUGAAGUACACAGAAAAUUAAGAGGAUAAAUCCUAUAAAAACACAUGAAAAUGAAAGGAAUCUUGGAUUCUUAUCAUGGGAAUCCUCUGUUUCCUUUUCCUUUAUCAUCAAUUUUUAAUAAUCAAAGGGGGCCAUAGCUCUACUCCAUCUUCAUUUGAUUAGAUUGAGGUAGUUUGAUCUGAGUUUUUCUAUCAUUUGAAUUUUGUAUAAUUGACCCUUUACUUUUUUCCUUUCAUCACUGCCAUUGCUAUCAUUAGUUGACCAUGGGAGGGAGAAAACCGACAAGUGCUUACACUAGUGGCAAUUUGAAGCUUAUUUUCCACCCUGAAGGCAGCCCAUGCUCAGUUACAUUUAUGGGAAAUUAGGCAUGUGCAUCGACUUUCUGCAUAAAAAAUUGCUUCUAACCAGGCUAAAUAAUCCCUGAUCUUCAGAUAAAAGAAUGCAAAAGACCCAUAAGCACUUUACCUUUUUUCAGGACGAGGUUCAAAGCAUAGUGACAUGGUGUGCUAUGAUCUAUAAUUGCAAUUAUUGCAGAAAGGUCAUUAGGAGACCCCCCCACUAGAGUAUUGAAAAACUGGUCAUUUUCCAUUUACUUCCCAUUAAAAUGAUUCCAGAUUAUAUUCUCCUUAUAGCAGAAUGAUGAGAUUUUCCACCUGCAUUUGAGCAGAUUUCACUUCACUCUGUUACUCUCUAUGUACCAAUUUUUGACUGGCCAUGCAAUUUGUGAUAGGAAAAUCAUGGUGAAAAAAAACCACUUUUUGUGUGCUCAAUGACAUAAAGACUGGGCAGCCAUUUGCUCCAGUUUUCAUCACCCCUGUUCUUGCUUAAACUAUUCACCUGUCAUCCACUUUCCCCAUUAGCAGCCUGCAUUUAUCGCACGAUGGCGGCGACAUUUUUAAAAUUCAAAGAUUCCUCCAUGGAUAUAUCAGCAGAAGCAGACUUUAAGUGAUCAUUCAGAAUCUCUCUGGCUCAUUUCCAGAUCAAACAAACACUCAGAUUUCUCAAUAGAUUUGGUUAAUCCAGCCACCCGGUCCAUUUGUUUAAGUGUGGAUUAGUACCAAUCAACAACCAUAAAGUUGGGCACAUUCAGUACAGAUGUAACAAGUCUCCAUUUCCACACAAGGUUGCUCCCCCAUUGGGAAAUUUUUAAUUUUGUUCUAGACUUAAAUCAACCACCCACAGGGGCAACUGCAUUGUUUGAAGCUAACAAACAAAAGGAGGCUAAUCAACAAGACCUUUAUCAACCAAAUCCCAGUCAUUCUUACUCUUUCUCUUUUUUUCCUUCCCAAAAAGUGGAAUCAAAUCUUUACACUGAAAGAGCACAAAAACAAAACCUCACCACUGAGUCUUAUCAUACUUUAAUCCUUGAAAUUAGGCAGUUCUCAUGCAUAUUAAAAACAUCCCUUUAUUCUAAGACUGGCAGUGAUUCAUUAAUAAUACCUUGUUGUGACUUGUGAUUGGUUUAAACCUAGUUUUUCUGUUCAUCUUUGGAUGAUAUUCAAAGUGAGCCUAGUGGUUUGAAGAACCAAAGAAGAAAUGUAUUGAAUGGACUGAGGAGACCCAAAAUGGCACCAUGUCUGCCCACUUGGAAAAAUUGACUCCAUAGUGGGGAUGCUAUUACUUUCUUGACUUGCAAUUUUUCUGUUAAUCAAAAGCUCCUCUAUAAAAAUAGGAAAUUUUGUACUAAAAUUAUAAAUUUAUUUAUAUAAUAAACAUUUUUCAAUGUCUUAGUUUUUUAAAAAUAAUUUUAAUUUUUUUUAAAUAUAAGUCUCUAAAAUUAUAACCAUUCCAAAAGAGAUAUUAUAUGAUUAAGAGUACAUUUGGUAUUGAUUUUAGGAAGUGUUUUUAGUUUUUAAGCAUCAAAAGAUUUUAUAAACAUUUUUUAAAAUCACUGUCAAAAUUACUUUAAAUUAAAAAAAAUAUUUAAAGAAGCAGAUGCAUCAUAAAAUUACUUAUUUUAUUAAUCAAUCUAUAAAAUUCACAAUAAUCAAUGUCGCUCAAUUCAAAAUUCUCUCGUGAUUAAUACCUAAUCUUGUACUUACAAAAUGACCAAACUACCCUACAUGCAAGAUGAAGUAGCUACCAAAAAAAUGGACAUUUAAAGCAAAAACUAAGCUCCAUUGUAGCUUGAAAGCAAUGGCGCCAAACAUAACCAAUGCUUUACUCAUUCAAUCCAUACAAGCAAUUAUUGUGCACAUUUUAUUAUAUAGUUUCUUUACGCAAUGAAACAUUGGGGUCUAUGCAAUUACGUGGGAGUGAAGUGUUAGGUUGGAUUAGCUUUUGGAAACCACAAUUUCAUAUCACCAUCACCACCACCACCUCCACCUCCACCUCCACCUCCUCCAUCAUUAUCUUAUCUUGACAUUUAAGCAUCAAGAUUGAAGGUUUGAUGGAGCUGAUGCUAUAUCCAUCAUCUAAUACCAUAUUUUCAAUAUUUUCAUUUUACUAAUGAUUGGGUGUUUUUGGGGUAAAAUUUUCAUCUUCAAUCAACUACUAGAAACAGUUCUUUUUCCAUUUCAAAAGAAUCAAUAGCAACUUCAUAAAUUUCCUUCUUGGAGAAGGAUAAAGGGGGAAAAAAAUAUAUAAGAUUUUUUUUUUUUUAAUGUCAUAUACAAGUUGAGCAAAAUAUAUAUAUAUAUAGGGUUAUAUUUGAUUAUAAGAAAGUACUAAAAUAAAAUAAAAAUGUUAAGAAAGAUGAUUUUCUCUUAGUUUAUCAUAAAAAAAUUUAAAAAUAAAAUAUAAUUAAAUUAAUUAAAAAAUUAUGUGUUUUUAAAUUAUUAAAUGUUUUAUAUAGAAAGAAAAAAAUAAUAAUUGAAAUGAUUUUGAAAAAACAUAUAAAAAUAAUUAAUUAAAUAUAAAUCUAUUUAACAUCUUUAAACUCAUUUUACUUAUUUUUUUAAUAUAAAAAAUUAAAAUGUUUAAGUUUUUAAUUAAUUUUAAUUUCUUUUAAACAUAGAAAAAUAUAAGAAAAUCAUUUCCCUUAAAUUAUCAUCAAUUCUUAGAAAAAUAAAAGAAAAAAUAAAAAAGUAUAUUUAAAGUAAAUAAAUUAUUUUUAUAUAAUAAUUUAAAUUCAUUUCAUUAAAUAAUUAAAAAAAUAUGGAAGUUUUUCAUUGAAUAUAAUUCAUUUUAUUUUUUAUUUUUCAUAGAAAAAUCAAACGUUAAAAUAUCAAAUUCUUAACAUUUUUUCUUUAAUGAUUUCAUGAAAUCAUUACGAACAUUAACGUUUUCUUCUUCAUGAAAUCAAUCAUCAUGAAGGAGAAAUUACAAUGAAAAAAAAAACACGGAGAGUUCUUCUAAUUUCUAUGUGGUGUAAUGAGUCAUUUAUUCAGCAUUUUAGGAAUAAAUCGAGUAUAAUUUUCUGAUAGAUUAUCUCUGCACAUGGCUCCACAUGCCUUUGGAAUCAUAAGGAUUCAAGCUUUUUUAUUUUUAUGAUUUUAAUAUUUUAUAUUUUAAUAACAACGAGUAGUGGGAAUAGUUAUCUCAUCCCUCUUCUUAUUUAUUUCCAUGUUUGGAUAACUCAAGUAUAAUAAUGGAAUCAAGAAUGAUUUCAAAGGAAAUUGAAUUCUACUUAUAUAAGUGACAUUUCAGUUGAAGGUAUUUUAAUUUUGUAGUGCAACUUAUUUUUAAAAAUUAAAACAUCAUAAACUUUUUUAGAUAAAUUAUUUUUAAGAAUAGCAUUUAUUUAGAUUUUGUAAAAAAAAAAAAUGUAAAUUCUAUUUAUAUAAUAUAAACUAACUUUAAUUCAAGUCAAAUAAAAAUAGUUUUCUAAUUAUAAAUAAAUUAAAAAAAUAGUUUUUAAUAAAAUAUGGAUAUUAAUAUUAUAAUAAAAUAAUAAAUUAUAUUUUUAUAAAUAUUAUAAAAAUAUGGAUAUUAAUAUCUUAUUAGAUCAUAAUUGAUUUAUUUUGUUAAAAAUAAAUAAUAAUAAUUAAAAUAUUUAUUUUAUUUUAAAUGAAUUUAAAAACAAACAAAGUUACAUUUUUUUAGGUAUAAAUGAGUCAAAAUUUUCAAUACAUACAUACCUACCUUUAGUACUUAAUUAAGGACAUAAUAUUCUAUAUUUAUUUUAAUUUAAUCUAUAAUUAAUUAACCAUUUUUUGAAUUUCAAAUUAUUCUUAAAAAUGAGAAGAUUUAUUAAGUAAAUUAAAAAAUUAAUUAUGUUUAUUAAUUUUCAUAGUGAUUAUAAAUAUUUCAAAUUAUUUUAAAAAAUUAUUAAACUUCUUACUUAUUUUUAAAAAUUAUUUUUCAUGAACCACAAUCAAUCGGUAUAAAUUUUUAAAACAAAUAUGUUUUUAAAUCACACACUAAAAUAUUUUUAAAAAUAAAAAUAAAUAUUUUAACAUUAAAAUAAAAACAAAUGACCUAGAUAGAUACAUCCAAAUGUAAUAAUUGGAAUCAUUAAAUCUAUUCCUAUUUAAGGAAGAAUAGGAAGAAUGAGAAUGGUCUCAUUCCCCAUUCCCACAUACAAAACAUACCAACAUGCCAAACAGGCCAUUAGAUCGAUGGAGCUUCAUGUUCCACAACAUUCUGGGCUCAACAUGGUGUUUGAAAUUGAGGAAAAAUCAGCUUGAAAAGUCAAAUAUGAAUAGGGAUAAUUACGUGUAAUUCAAAUCCCAGACCUCUAUGCCGAGUCAUGGACAGCUCCGUUGCUAGCUGUAACCGGUAGGGUGUAGUAUUAACCCAGAAAUGGGGAUUGUUUGGUUGGGACUGAGAAUUCAAAUUUUCAUUUGGCCGCCAAAAUUUCAAAUAUUUGUGUUAAAAAGUGUAUAAAAAUAUUAAAAUUCCAAAACAUUUAGAUGAAUUAAAAUUCCAAAAAAAUAUUAAAAUUCCCUUUAUGUUAGUGUAUACAAAGUGUAUUAGUAUUAAAAAAAUAUAAAAAGUUUGACGGGAUACAACUUUGUCCAAAUCUCUUUUUGAAUUUUUUUAAUCAAAUCUUCUUAAAAUUUAUAAGUCUUUGCUGUCAUAUUGAUUUAAUAAAAAUUUAAAAACGAUGUUAAUUAAUAUAUAUUUGACAAAAAAAUAAAAAUUAUUUUUACCGAGAUGCCUAAAAAUACUGAUUGAUUACUUCAUCGAUCAAUUUUUUCACUUCAAGUCAUAAAUGAAAUUAUAAGAAUUAUUUUUUUUCGCAUGAUAAUAACUUAAAAGUCUUUUUUUGUCUCAAUUUUUUCGGGGGAGAGAUAAAUUAAAAAAAAAAGAAUAUUUGUUUGGAUAGUUUUAAAAUUUCAAGAAAUUGCUACUCUUAUUUUUCAUUUAUUGAAUUGGGUCGGUCCAACUCAUUUGGACAAUCAAAUCCAAUAUCAUAUAUAUAUAUAUAUAUAUAUAUAUAUAUAUAUAUAUAUAUAUAUUAGGUCUUAUUAUUCCGGAUUCACUUGUUUAUAAUUUGAUUUUAUUUAUUUGUUUUAUCAUUCUAUAAUUUGAAUAAUUACAUUCCCGUAAUUGCCGAUUUGGUUUCAAUUUUUUGCAUGUAUCAUUGGGGAAUGAAACUUCAUGAAUUGGACACUGCAAGGAAAAAAACAAACCCGUUGAGAAAUGAAAACAUUCCAAACGGGUAUCCAAACAGCCCCUUAAGAAAAUCCUCCUGUUGGUGGGAGAAUGACAGAAGAAAAUGACGACAAGACAAAGAAAGCAAACGACCAUUCCCGAUCUUUCCCCCAAAAGAAUAAAUAAAUAAAUAAAUUUAAAAACCAGAACACGUGGCAGACAACAACUGGCUGUCCACACUACGGUCCCCGCAAUGAGCAACCCCCUCUGCCUUUCUGGGUUUCUCCCCCUCUACGCCAUUUUUCAAUGAUCAAAAUCCUCGUCGGCCUCAUCCUCCCUGUCGCUAUUUAAAGAUGAAUCCUCCGAUGCUUCCCAUCACCAAUCCUUCUGCUUCUUCAGCAAUGGUGGCGACCACAUCUUUGACUGCAAAUGCGGCCACAAUGUUGAUUCAGGAGCAUCAUGAUGAGACUGCUCGCCUUCUCAUUGAUGGUAGGGCCGUCGAUACGAAGCCUUUUCUCCCUAGGGCUUCCAGCUACACCAGUACUGGUACGCCCGUUAAUGGCAGCAGCUUCUAUCAGCAGCGGCGGAGGCGGAUUGCCAGCGACACCUCUCUGGCAUCUCUCACCACGGGCGGUGGCAGCCGGAGCGAGUACGUGGCCCACGCUGCGUCCGAGACAUAUUUGCUGACUCGCCUUGGUUUCAAGCUGUUGCGGUAUCUUGGGUACGGUUUCUCUCUCAGUUUUAGGGGAAUUGCUCUGUUCUGUUUCGUUUAUGAUUGUUAUUCUUAUAUUUUCAAAUACUUGGGAUUUGCUGAAAAUUGAGUGAGUUGAUUACGGGUUGAUUUAGUGUUUGGAACAAGUUAAAAUAUUUGUUGUUUGAAUUGUGCAUGUGUUUAGAGUUUUAGGGUGGUGUUCUUUAUAUUUUGUGCUAUACAUGACCAUUGUUGAAAAUGUGUGUAAUUUGGUCCAUUCAUGCCAUUUAAUUGUGAUGGGAAAAAUGGGGAUUUAAUGGAUAUUCAAUUGGAGUCUGUAAAUUAACAUCUAAAUGGGAAGUAGAAUUUACGGAUGAAUCACCUGGCUCUUUGGGGUGUUGGGGUUAGCUUCUAAUUUUAUCAAUCAACUUAGCUGAAGUUGGCUGACCAAGAAAACAAAGCUUCUCAAGAUAAGUAGAACUUCCUUUUUAUUGGAAAAUGUAACUUAUCUAGCAAAUGGUAUUGAGAUGUUGAGAUGGAUGUAGAAGUAGAUUUAUUUCUGAUCCCAAAUAAUACAUUUGGAGAAAACUUGAGGUUGGGUGGUGGGUGACUGGUUAGGGAAUCUCUUAAUCAAGAUGGUCUGAACAUGUAUGAAUUGGAUGGUAUGACUUGACCUGACAGUUCUCAACAAGAGGGAUAGGAAAGUCAAGCAGGACAAUCUUAUACUAGAAGAAGAGGUUCUAAAUCCCGAGAUUGUGGUAAUAACCUCAAGUGGUUGGGAAGCCACUCUGUAAUUAACUAAAAAGGGAUUUGGAAUCUCAUUUUCAUGACAACAACCUAAAAUGGUAGGGGGACACACUGAAAAUAGUAGUUGUGGCAGCAGAAAAAGUCAGAGGGUAUUUUCCUUCUGUUGUUUACAUACUUUAGCAACUUUACAUGAAUUAGAGAUCUAGUUAUUUCACUUUCCAAUGUUGGUAUGAGAUGAAUUUCUAAUCCAUCCGAUUCUCAACUAUUAGAAGCUUUCUGAUCGUUUAUUUUUAUUCAGGGUAGGCUACAGAUGGAUUACAAGAUUUCUUGCACUUGGUUGUUAUGCCUUACUACUUAUGCCAGGUUUUAUUCAAGGUCUGUAGCAUUCAUUGAUCUGUAGUCAAAUCCUUUUUUUUUUUUCAUGCAUCACUGUCUAAAAUUGCUUGCAAGUAAUUUAAUCUCUAUCACUGUGUUUUGAGCAAUGCCUGUACUUUAAACAGCAUAGUGAUCUUAUUUGUAUGGUUCAGCUAUAACUUUCAAUUUUGGUGGAGCAUAACAACUGUGCUAGACUUUUGCAGUUGGAUAUUACUAUUUCUUCUCCAGUAGGGUCCGCAGAGGUAUUGUUUAUGGAGAUCAACCAAGAAAUAGGUAUGUGUAUGGUUGUGGCUUAUUUCUUGUGCAUUUACAUGCAAAAAUUUUUCCUACCUCAUCUUACUUCAUGUAUUUCGUAGCAUCAAGAGCAGAUUUUUUAUUCUGCAGGCUUGAUCUGUAUUUACCCAAAAACAGUGAUGGGCCAAAGCCAGUUGUUGCAUUUGUAACUGGUGGAGCCUGGAUUAUUGGGUGAGUAAUUCAGCUGCAUUUUCCCUGAUAGCAAAUAUGAAUUUACAGUACAAACAUUUAAAUACACAGGGGCAGACAUGGAUGUUGGCCUUAGCUCCAUAGACUUAUGAAACCAAAAAUGAUAUAUUACACCAAGAUGCUACUGAAUUGUAUUUUAAUGCAAAAAGUACUUUACUAGGGGGCCAAUGGUAUUUGUAAUAGGUGGUCAGGGCAGGACAAGUAACAAAGCGAAGCUUUUUCCAUAAGUUCCAUUAUUACACUAUUUUCUUAUUAGAACCUUUAAAAUUGAUUUAUCCUUGUAUGUGAUUGAAAGGUUCAUCUGGUCAGUUUUAUUAAUUCUAUCAUAACUUGCUAAAAAAAUUAGUUUGCUUCUUGCGACCCUAAUUACUUAUUGCCAACCAAUAAUGAGAAGCUUUUUGUUGAUGCAGUUAUAAAGCAUGGGGUUCUCUUUUAGGGCAACAGUUAUCAGAAAGAGACAUCAUAGUGGCAUGCAUAGAUUACAGGUGGUUUGCUUUGCCUAAUGCAUUAACAUGUUUUUAUUAUGCCAGAUGGAGUUUUCUGAUUGAUAUAUUGGGAUUCUAGCUCUUCCAUCAUAAUGGAUGUAUUGGAAUUCUAUCUCUUCUAUGCUGAUGGACUUGUUUGAAUUCUUGCUCAGCUAUAAUCUGUAUGCCAUAUCCAUCAGCAUAGUUUUGGCUUCUUAAACAGUUUCUUGGUCCAUCUUUAAAGCAUUGCCAAUCUUACAAAUAUUAGAUUGCUGUUCUUUUAAUGAAAGGGGCACAUGGAUGUUAUUUUUGUAACUGAAUGACCACUAAACUUAACUUGCACAACCUUAAAUCCCAACUACUUGGUUUGCACUACAGAUUCUUUUUAGCCAUUCAGAUCCAUCUACAGCCAUAUUCUCCUCUUCUUUUGGGCCUGUCUUGAUUUUCCCCCUCUACUUUGGCUUUCCUAGUCCUUUUGACAUCCUUAAAUCAAAUAUCCAUACUGGUGAAUUCUUUUGAUUUCAUUGCACAUGACUGAACCAUCUUAGAUUACUUUCCUUAAUGUUGUUAUCAUUGAUUUCACCACAAGGUUCUCCUGAAUGCAUCAAUCUCUUGUUCUUUCUUCUUUUGCCAUCUUCAGUCUCAACGUCCACAUUUUACUUCUAUUCACUUCUUGAACAUAUUUUUUUCUUGAUUACCCAGAUUUCUCAUUUGAAUUUGAAUGAGCAUUAAUUUGCAUAUAAUUUUUAAUUUGUUCAUUGUGUUUCUUAUAACAUAUUUAACAAGAUAAAUGACAUCAUCGAUGAUUAUAGUGAGGUCUCUAUUAUAUUUUACACGUGUGUUAGAAUAUUUUAUCAAUCUCAGUGGAUUGCUUCAAUUUUCAAGGGUUUCUAAACAUUGCCAUGUUAAUUUCUUUAACAGAUAAUCACUCAAAAUCCAUAGCUUACUUUUGUGUGGGUGCACUCAUGUGAGCUAGUGUUUAUGAGAAGCAACUAAGUUAGUUUCUUUACUUAUGCUCCCUCAUAAACUCUCAUAAUCUCUUUCAAGUAAAUGUGCAUGUUAUGUGUUUUGGUUAACAGAUGUUGCCUAGAUGUCUUUUACUAGUUGAUAUUCUUAAAAUUUAUGAGUAGUUUUCAGUGUUCAUUUAUUAAUUUCAAAAUCACUUUAUAUAAUGUUAUACUCAUGGAUAUCACAACUGAAGUACAUAAGCAUCAACUUGCAUGUUUAUGCCUCUAGUGGAGUAUUCUUGUAUAUGCGUGCACGUUUCACAUGAAUAACACCCUGCUACAUGGAACCCAGAUCUUGUGUUUAAAUUUCUUUGUUGAGGAGAUAUCAUGGUUAAUGUACUUUAUGUAUGAAAGCUCAUGAUUAAUUUUUGGAUGCAGAAAUUUCCCCCAGGGAACCAUAAGUGAUAUGGUGAAUGAUGCUUCUCUAGGUGUCUCAUUUGUGUGCAACAAUAUUGCUGAAUAUGGGGGUGAUCCUAAUAGGUAACAACUUUUCUUUUUUUCUACAUAUCAUUGUUGUUGCCUUACAGUUUUAGUUUUCGUUAACAUGCCUUUUCUUUUUUCAUGUUUUUGUUCAUGUAGGAUUUAUUUAAUGGGACAGUCAGCUGGUGCACAUAUUGCUGCUUGCACUCUCUUGGAGCAGGCAAUCAAGGAAUGUGGUGAAGGAGGGAGCACUUCUUGGAGUGUCGCCCAGAUAAAGGCUUAUUUUGGUUUAUCUGGAGGGUAAAUAUUUGUUAUAGUUCUGUUCAUAAUGUGAAUUUCUAUUCCUUAAAUUUCCAAUGGAAUUAACCUAGUAAUAUUUUUAUGAUUAUAUUUUUUGAGGAAAUCAAUUAAUUUUCAGUCUAGAAGAUGUCCUAAUGGAGCUCCUUCUAGCCCAAUUACUAUAUUUUCCUUCUAGUCAUGAACAUUAUGGUGUUAGUGCACAUUGGCUUGAUUGUAGUAUAUACUGGUUGUAGUAUGUAGUUAAGAGAACUCUUAACCAAUCAAGCGUAUAUGGAAUAUAUUUUAUUAAAGAACACUCUAGAAAAUGCUUGCAGUAUCUAAUUAACAAAAGGACAGCUUAGCAAAUCAAGCAUUUGUCAAAUAUAUUAUCUUAAAUGUCCUGAUAGCCCAGGGGUCCAUCCUAUCCAAUAAAAAUUUUAAUUUAGAGCAACCAAGGAAUUUUCAGAAUGGGGCCCUCCCAUGGGAAUCUGUAUUAGAAUGUUAGGAGUUCAAAGACAGCAAAGGCAGUUUAAGGUUACUUGUAUCUCAAAAUAAAAAGUUGUACCAUCUAGAAGUUUUUUACAAGUUGCCAGAACAAAUUUAUCUCCUGGAUCCUUUCUGUUUUUUUUUUCUGCUGCAUUCUCUAACAGAAAAUGUUUUAAUGAAUUCUGAAACAGUUUUGUUUAUCAUCUUCUCAUGCAUUUCUCACAAAUAAUUGUGCAGGUACAAUUUAUUUAACCUGAUAGAUCAUUUCCAUAGUCGAGGCUUAUACCGUUCUAUCUUUUUAAGGUAGACACUUUCUUCCCCUAGUGAUUAAAUGGUGCUUGGGGAACUUAUAAGUAUCAUGCAUUAACUUUGUUAUUGCUUAUUCUCUGCUGUCAUAUGUUUGAUUGGGUUGCUCUGAAUGCUUAUACAGCAUAAUGGAAGGGGAACAAUCUUUACAUCAAUAUUCUCCUGAAGUAACGGUGCAGGAUCCGAACAUUAAAACUGCAGUUUCUCGCCUACCUCCUAUCAUCCUUUUUCAUGGUACUGCAGAUUAUUCCAUUCCAGCAGAUGCCAGGUCAGAGUCUUCUCUGAAAUAAAUUGCAGUAAUUGCAUAUUACUAUUUCUAAACUCAAAUGGUGAAUCAUGAAUGGAUGUUGCUCAGUUUACAAAAGCAUUUUUCGUGAGAUAAUGCACCUUAUAAUUAACCAUGCCUUUCUUCAGAGAUAGGUAAAUUAAGAAGAAAAUAUAGAAGAUUUAGCAUUGCCCUAUUUGGUGUUCUUCCAAUCAAUUAAUUAUUAUUAUUAUUUUUUGAUAAAAAAUGGUAACAUCUCUUCCUCCAUAAAUGUAUAAGCAGCUGGACUUCAGGUUUGCUCUGAGUUCACUGUGGUUAUAACCUUGGACAUUCUGAUAGCACAAAAUGGUUCAGUGAUUGUUUACUAAUGUGAUAAGAAUUCUUCACUUGUUGUGUACUGAUUGACAAAAGUGAGUUGUAGUUUGGUUUCUAAUUGUUUUAAUUUGAUAAAUUAACUCUAGAAUUAGAAUAUAUAUAUAUAUUAUUUUUUUUCAAUUUGGACAACAUGGAACAUGGGACAGAGGCACAACAAAGAAUAAAAAUUUGGCCUUGUAUGAUGUUUUCGAAAAUAGGUAUGAAGAACAGUUCUAGAAACCAAUUUUUAAUUAUUUUGAAGAAUAAAAUUCUAUUUGGGAACUCAAAUAUGAAAAAUAGUUUUUCUAUUUAUUCUCCAUAAAGGUACUGCACAUUUAUGUACAAUGCAAUGCAAAUGUUUCUAGAGUAUUCUCUAUUUUCUCAAUUGUUGCUAAGAACAUGUUACAAAAAACAACUAAAAACAUCGUAAAUUUGUUCUAAAAAACAACCAGAUUUCAAAACAAAUUCUAAAUUACAGUUUUAUGUCAAAAGUUUUCCAAAUGUACUUUUUAAGUUAGAAAACUAUUUUCUAUUCUUUAACAAAAAAAUGUUUUCAAGAAUUAUUAUCAAACAGGCCUUGUGAUUUUUUUUCUUUUUCUGUUUUUGGGAAUCUUGGAUUGCUAUUCUUUCAUAUCCAUCCAAGGGAUCCUAUCAAAAUAUAAAUUCUGAAUUUAAACAUGAGAGUUUUUUUAUAGCUUACAAGGGUUUCUCUGUUGCACAGGAUCUUAUUGAUAACUUUCCAAAGAAUCAUUUUCAAAAAGUUUCAUAAUCAUAUUGUUGUUAAGAGCACAUACACAACAUAGAAAAUGAUCAUAUUCAUGAUUGGAGGUCAUUCAUUACAUAAUACUGAAAGCAUCAUUUAGACCACAAAUCUCUAGUUUAAAAUAUAUUUCAUUUUUGUUUCUAAAGUAAAACACCUGACAAAAGCUCAUAACAAAGUGUGUUGCUCUAUACAGCAAGUCUUUUGCAGAGACUCUUCAGAGAGUUGGAGUUAAAGCUGAAUCAAUAAUGUACGAAGGAAGAACUCACACAGAUGUAUUUCUUCACGUAAGUGUUGGACACAGAUGCUUGUUUACCAUUUUGAUUGGCCAUAAUUAUGUUUGUGAAUUGAAGGCGAUAUUGUGCCUUUCAUUCACAUUGUCACUUUUAUAGAGUUUCCUCUCCUUAUAUUAAUUUUAGAUUCCAACCUUGUUCCUUCAGUCCAAUAGCCGUUCAUAUGUAAUUCUGUGCAACUGGUUUGGGCUCUGUCGUAUCAACAAUUCGUCUUCUCCUUGCAACAUUGUGUGAUUGUCAUACAGACUCAGAAGAUGAUUCUCUUUCCCAUGGAAAUGAGAAUAUUAAAUAUGAAGGAAUUAACGCAAAACUGCUCCUACUGACUUGUAGUUCCUUUUAAAUUUGCAGGAUCCAAUGAGGGGUGGUAGAGAUGAUAUGUUUGAAGAUUUAGUUGCCAUGAUUCAUGCAAAUGAUCCAGAAGCCCUAGCAAAAGAUGCAGUGGCACCUCCAAGAAAACGCCUUGUACCUGAAUUCAUGUUGAAGUUGGCUCGUGCUGUCAGCCCAUUCUAACCAUUAUUACAGCUAUUAACCAUGAAGCUCAAUUGAACACAAUUUUUUUGGCUCUUAUUUUGUUCAUAUAUACUUUUUAGAAUUACUAUUAGCACUCCUACUUUUGUUACCCUUUUCUUUUUCUUCUUUUUACUUGAGGAUAACUAGAGAAUGACUGUAUCCAAUACCCAUGUUGUGACUUGUGAACGAUCAUAUUUGUUUCAAUACAAGUUUACCAUACCUCAUUUGAUGGAUGUUAUCACGGUAUCAGCCUUCUAUCUUAUAAAAAUAAAUUAUAAAGAUUAUUAAUUUAUAAAUUAUAUUUCUUUUUAAUAUAAUUUUAAAAUUUAAAAAUAUUGAAAAAAAAAAUUAAGUUGGUGUUAGAAAGAUGAUCCCAUUUAUUUUUUAUUUUUUUUAUUUUUGGAUGGGGAUGAAAAUAAAUUGGAUUGGUUUGUUCUAAACUCAUUCUGUUGUCGUCUUUAUAUUACUAUUAUUUUUAUUUUAUAAUAUAGAUUGUUAUUGUUGAUAAAUUUCACAUUUUUUUUCCUUAAAUCUUUGUCUAGUGUAACUUGUCUUAAAAAAAGGUUAAGCUAAGGUGAACACAAUUUCAUCCACAUACUAUCACAAGAUCAGUUAAUUUAUAGCCCAAGGACAGGUUGAUUUAUUCAAUAGCCAAUUAGCAGCUCAACAUUAAUGUUACCAAAUCACCCUCGAGCACCUGCAAGAGCAUUCAGAGGAAGCUCAUAGUGCAUUGGACGAUCAGGCUAAAUUGUAGUUAAUGUUCUAUUGUUACAACGUUAUGCUGUUCACAUUUAGAAUGCAGGGGCAACGUAUUGGAGAUUGGUGAUCAAACUUUUCGAACACAUCUUAGGCUAGACGACUGAAGUACACAUAGACGAUAUGCUAAUGAAAACUUUAUCGAGCAAAUCAUUUUCAGUACCUUGAAGGGGCAUUGGGGUGGAUGGAAAUUUUUUUGGUUAUAUGGUCGCAAGAGGGGGAUCGAUGCCAAUCAAGAUCAAGUACACACUUUCUUGAAAUGUCGUCAUCCCUAUCUAGUACCAAACAAGUACAAUAUUGUCCAUUGAUCGACCAAAGCCUUUCUUUGAUAUACUACUUCGGCGACAAGAAAGUUUGGGUGAACAAAUGACUGUGAUGAUGGCAGUUUGAGCCAUUAAGCAAUACUGGGUCAAGCCCUCAAUAUUGAGCAGUCCACAAGGUGGAAUUGGAAGAAGCUUUAUGUGUAAUUGGCAGCACGAGGGAGGCAUUUAGAGUUUGCCAAAAGCCCAUCUUCUACAUUAGCAAAGCCUUAGUGGAGCUUGAAUUACCUAGAAAAGGUUGCCUUUAUCCACAAGGUUGAAUUUUUUUUUUAUCCCUAUUUUGAAGUGUUAUUAGAAUUAUGUACAUACACCAACAAAAAAAUAAAAGAAAAACACUAAAUUAACAUGGUUCAAUGAUCAAUAUGAUCUGUAUGUCUACGAAGUACUCCAACACUUAAGAAUCUACUAGUCAGAUGAAAAAAAAAGAAUAUAAUAAUGAAACUCUUACCAUCCUUUUAAUUUCAAUUACAAAAAAAAAAAUUCUUAAAUCAUAAAAGAGUUAAAUAUAUAACAAGGAUAAGCUUGUCAUUCAACAAAUAAAAAAAGUUUCUUUAUGAGGUGUUGCCUUCUUCAACCCUCAUAAAAUUAGCGAGAAGCUAGACUCCUAGUGUCCCCUAUAAAGUACAAUAAAAUUGAUUUAGGUUUCACAAUCCAACAAUAAACCCAUGUAAUCAAUGUACUCACAAUCUCUCUUUGAAAGCCACCUCGCACAAAUUGGAUCUAUCUGAAAGAGUAUUGAAAUGACAAUCGAACUGAGUUAAUUAAGAUAUUAUAUAUAAACCACACCUUGCUCUUGUAGACUUCUUGGCCAAACUACUAGCAUCCAAAGUCUAUUAAUACACUAAAAAGCCCCAUUGAUUUUGGAUUCUUUAUGUGGACAACUCAUCUAAGGUUAGGAGGUUGGGUUGGAAUUGUGCUCCAAUUCCUUGAUGGAGAAUAGUUGAAGCAGGCUAUUCACUUAACUAAUUUGGACUAAUAUAACUCAAAUUUUAACAUAAAUCUAAUGCAAAGUUAAAUAUGACUAAUGCAAAAUACCUCACAUAUUUUAAGAGAAAAAAAAAUUCAAUGAAAAUGCUAAUAACUUAUAUUACAAGGGAUCCACUCACAAUGAUGGUGGAGCAUACAAGUAAUAAGUUGUCCAUUGACACUUAUUUAGUAUUUAACUUAAUUGUUCUCGUUUAACCCACUAGUAAUUUAGCCAACUAGUAUGAUUUUCUACCCUUUUCCACUAUACAAUUUUGUGGGUAAAAUUAAUUAAUUAUGAACUUUUUGUUACAACCACUUUAUGAAAUUUUUUUCAUGAUAAAUACAUUUUUGCUAUGAAAAGGUUUUGUUUGAAUCACUGAAAUUGUUACUUUUAAGGGUGGAUAUUCACCAUUUUUAUCCUUUUCCACGUUAUAAACAUCACAUAAACCAAAAUUAAUGACUUUGUAAAUUGCUAAUACAAAUCAAGAUAAUUGGUAUUGAUAGGGAGAAGAACACUGUAAGUGAAAAAAUCCUUUUAAAUUCUUCGAUAUUUAUAAUAAUCAUUAAUAAUGUAAAAAUAUUCAUUGCAAAACUUUAAUAUUAUUCAUUUAGCCAUAAAAAAAUCAUUAAUAGAAUAAUUGAAUUAGAUUUUUAAGAUAAAGGGAAGAUCAAGAUAAAAUGAGAGAAGAAAAGAAAGAUAUGAGAAAAAUGAUUAAAUAAUUGAAAGAUCUUGUAGCUCGUUUUUUUUAAAUUUAUAUUAUUUCAAUUUUUUUUAAUCGUGUCACAAUGCUUACAUGAAAUUGUAAAAUUCAAGAACAAGAAUGACAUGAGCUUAUAAGAAGACAUUAAGGGUGACAACCCGCCAUAUAUAUGAAGUAGAUCAUCAUGAAUAAAAAAUGUUCUUUUUUAUCCUCAAGUGUUUCUAUUGAAUAUUUUAAUAAUCUAAUAUUUUCAAUUAAAUCAUCUCAUUUUAUCAUCUCUUACCAAUAUAAUUCAAAAUAAAUUUUAUUAAUGAACUCUAUGUUAAAAAUAAUUUUUUUUUAAAAAUUAUUCAAAAUUCGAAAGAUGGUACCUCCCAUCAAGUAUCAAGUAAUCGUGGAUGCAUAUUUAUCUUAGAUAUAGGCUAAAGGAAGAAUUGUUGAUUCCGUACAAGUACGUACAUGACAUUUUCAAAACGAUAGUAUAAAACAAUAUUGAUGGCUGAAUCUGAAUCCAAUCCAGUCCAGAUUCCAGAACAACAAAAGUGAUUUACGGUAAAAAGAAGCAGUGGGUCGUCCCCCCAAAGUUUCUCUAAGUCAACUUCAUUAUUACCAAUUCAAUCAAGUCCUGCUGCUAGUGCGAUUUGGUCUGUUCCCAGCAUUAGGUGUUGACUAGCUACAGUGAUCAUCGAGUAGAAUAAAUUAAUAGGGGCUCAAGGAGGGAGACUUCACCAGAAGUUGGCCUCAAUUGAAGCAGGAUGCAAUUGGUAAUAUGUUUUGAACAUCAAUGAAAAUGCUUGGAAUUUAAUCAUCAAUUCUUAAUCAUGUAGGUAUUGUUUACUUAUUCUCAAUCAUAUAUGUAUUAUUUAUUUUGGAUUUAAGGAUUCUCACCGCUUCAAAAUAUGUUUACAUAAUUAAGAAGAAUCCUUACAUAUAUAUAAUUUUUUUCUCAUAUCCAAGGAGGAUAUUGUAAUCACCUUUCAUACAAAACACAACGUUUUUGUUAUAUUCCAUAAAAUUAAGGGAUGAAACAAAUAGAUAUUUCUUAUAGGAAGAUAAACACCUGUAAAAUAAACUCUAAAUUAGUUUUGAUAUCAUUUAUAUGGACUUCUUUUAAUUAUAUAAAUGUGUUUUAAAACUAUGAUAACCUUUAACCCUAGAAUGUAUAAUAUCUAAGUGAUUGAAAGCGGAUUGUUAUAUUGCAUGUCAGCAUCGGCAUAUCUUAUGCUCAGAGAUGACUCAUUAUAAUAGUGGAGCUACCAUACAACAAGAAGUGGGUAGUCCACUCAGGCUUCUCUGGGCACUCAAUUAUUCUCCUUCUAUGUGCCCACAAGAAAUCCAGUCAGCCACUGCUAGUGCCAUAUAUAAGUGCGGGAGGGGCGGAGAGACUUCAUCAAAGGUGCCUUGAAGAAAGAAAUGGCUCCCAAGGCUUUCGUGAUCCUUGGCAUCCUCUUCUUUCUGAUGACAAUUCCAUCCAUGAAAUCGGAGUCUCAAACGGUGAAAGAUAGUUCAAGUGAUGAAGCAGCCCAGAAUAAUCCUACAGACGGCGGGACUGCACCAUCAACCACCCCAGUUCCACCGGAGAUUGUUGUUGGAGGGCCCCCCUACAGAGACUAUUUACCAGAUAGAGAAACUUCACCAUACCAUCAGUAUCACCGUGAGUAUAACCUUUCAUGCAGUUCAAUAAGCUACUGCAUGCAUUACUUGAUUGUUUUGUUUCUAGUUUCAUUGGAUCCAGUAGGAUGAUGGAGAUAUGAACUUGUUAACAGUUGUGCCUUCUGAUAACAAGUUUGUCCUCCUACCGCUUGCGCUUGGAGGUGAGCCAUAGGAUUUGGAGCAUUCAGCAAAACAAUAGUUUAGUCUUAUAAAUAAAAAAUCUAGCUAGGUUAUGUUUAGUUCUAAAAAAAUUCCAAGGAACCAAAAAAAAAAAAAAAAGAAAAGAAAAAUAGUUUUCUCAAAUUUGAUUUCACUAUAAAAAAUAUAAAAGAAAAUCAAACCUAACUUGAAUUAGUUAAGAAUUUAUAUAUAUUUUUAAUUAUUUAAUCUUUACACAAUAAAGGAAAUAUAAUUUAAAUAAAUUUGAGAAACAUAUUUUUCACUGAGAUUCUUAGCAUAUGACCAGCUCCAGUUUUUAGCUAGUCAUCAUGUAAUUUGGCUUCAUCUAAUUAUAAGCAAUUCUCAUGGUUAUUAUUGCAGAGGUCCGCGUGGUGUGCAGGAGUAAAUCACGAGGAGCACCAGGUGUAUGCGAAUGAAGGGGAAGGGAAGGCCCUCGAUUUUCUAUGUUUAGGAGCUUUUCCCAAGAAAUUAAAAAUUAAAGCUAAAUGGGGUCGAGGAUCUCUCUCUCUGGGUUUGGGGUGAAGUUGGGUCCAUACAUUUUCUCUUCCCGUGUGUUGUAAAAUCUAAAUUAUCAAUAUUAUCAAAUUAUAUUCAAGAAUAAAAUAAAUAAUGUGAGGGAGUGUGUCCAUGGGGUUACGUAUUAUUGGGAGUAAGUGGUUAUUGUUAAGAAAUCUUUAAAUUGAAUUAGAAUUUACUGGCUUAUAAAUAGCCUUACAAGAUAACUCAAACAGAGCUGGAAGUAAUCCACAUCUAACAGUCCUAGAAACUUGGUUUAUAACUAAAGAAAUAGAUAAACCUAAAAGCACAUCCCUUAUUAAUAGGAAAAGCUAUCAAAUCCCUAACAAACUACCUAAAAACGAGUACUUUAACAUCCUUCCUUAAACUGAAUGCUUUAGCAAUCAGUUUACUCCAGGAUCCAAACAAACACCCAACAAAUCACGUAAUUUCAAGAAUGCAUCAAGCUUUAGAGGUUUAGUCAUUAUAUCUGCAACUUGCUCCUGCGUAUGACAAUGAACCAUCUCUAUAGUUCCAUCUUUUGUAAGCUCACGAAGGAAAUGAAAACGAACAUCAAUGUGUUUGCAGUGACCAUGCAUCACUAGAUUCUUAGAAAGCUUGAUUGUUGAGUUGUUAUCACAAUAAACUGUUGUAGAAUCAUGUUGAGCAUGGUUGAGACCUUCCAAUAUCCUUCUUAACCAUAUUGCUUGACAGGCACAAGAAGUUGCAGCAAUAAACUCAGCUUCAGUAGUGGACAAAGAGACCACAGGUUGCUUCUUUGAGGACCAAGACACUGCUCCUGAGCUCAACAUAAACACAUAAACUGAAGUGCUUUUCCUAUCGUCUAAAUCCCCAGCAUAAUCACUAUCUGUGUAGGCAAUCAAUUCCUCAUUUCCACCCUUCUUGUAGAACACACCAAAAUCAAUGGUACCUUUCAAGUACCUUAGUAUCCUCUUUGCUGAUUGCAAAUGAAGUUCAGUAGGACAGUCCAUAAAUCUGUUGAUGAGACUCACCACAAACAUAACAUCUGGUCGAGUGGCAGUCAAAUACAUAAGAAUUCCUACAAUCUUCUUAUAGAACGUACUGUCAACCUUCACUCCAUCUCCAUUUUUCGUAAGCUUGAAUCCAGGAACCAUAGGAUUGUGAACUGGAUUGCACUUGUCCAUGCUGAACCUUUCCAACACCUCCUGUGUGUAUUUCUUCUGAUUAAUAAAGAUGCCAUCUGAUCUUUGCAUCACCUCAAUGCCAAGAAAGUAUCUCAUUUUUCCAAGAUCAAUCAUAUCAAAUUCAAGCAUCAUGGAUUUCUUAAACUCAGCAAACAUAAUUUCAUCAUUCCCAGUAAAAAUAAGAUCAUCCACAUAGAGACACACAAUCAAAAUCUUACCUCCUUUUCCAGUCUUGAUGAAUAAAGUAUGCUCAUAGUGGCAUUUUUUAAAUCCUUCCUUCAUAAAAUAGGACUCUAUACGACUAUACCAAGCUCGCGGAGCUUGUUUAAGUCCAUACAAAGCCUUUUUCAAUCUGUACACCUUCUGCUCAUUGCCCUUCUGUUCAUAGCCAGGAGGCUGUUCGACAAAGACUUCUUCACUUAGUUCACCAUGUAAGAAGGCUGACUUUACAUCUAACUGGUAGAUUGUCCACUCCUUUAGAGCUGCAAGAGAAAUCACCACUCGAAUUGUAUCUAAUCGAGCUACAGGUGCAAAAACCUCAGUAUAAUCCACCCCAUGUUCUUGAGUGUAACCCUUUGCUACCAACCGAGCCUUGUACUUAUCCACUUCUCCAUUCUCAUUAAACUUUGUCUUGUAAAUCCAUUUUACUCCAACUUUCUUUGCUUCAGUAGGUAAAUCUGUCAACUCCCAUGUAUCAUUCCUCUCUAUGGCUUCUAUCUUUGCAUCCAUUGCUUUCUUCUAUUUCAUACUUUUCACAGCAUCGCCAAAUGAGACUGGAUCAUUGCCGACAAACAAAGCUUGGUAUGCAGUGUCUUCUUCCUCAGAUAAACCAUUUCCACUUUCGUAAUCUCUCAGCCAAGCUGGUGGUCUUCUGAUUCUUCCUUCAUUAGGAUUAAGUGGAUUUUCUUCAUUUGACUCAUAUGAAUCAUUACCCUCCAUAGCUUCAAUUGUAAUGUCAUGGUGAUCAGUUUCAAAAUUUCCUCUAUUGGUAUCAACUAGGACUGCUUCUUUGUCACUUUCUCCCCAGUCUAGAUCAGCUAUAAUGGCUUUUUCAUAACUUUUGUUCCAAUCCCAACUGUUUUCUUCUUCAAACUUCACAUCUCUGCUUACUAUUAUCUUCUGAGAGAUUGGAUCAUACAAUCUAUAUGCCUUCGACUCCUCACUAACUCCAAGUAGAACACAUUUCACACUCUUGUCAUCAAGCUUAGUCCUCUUACUAUCAGGAAUAUGAACAUGAGAUAUGCAGCCAAACACCCUGAAGUGAUCAACUGAUGGUUUAGAUCCACUCCAAGCUUCUUCUGGAGUCAUGUCUUUUACUACUAGAGUUGGACUUCUAUUCAGAACAUACACAGUCCAAUUAAUAGCUUCAGGCCAAAAAUUUUUUGGAAUUUUUCUUCCUGAAAGCAUGCUUCGCACCAUUCUGUUGUGGAGUAUAUGCCGCUGUCAGUUGUCUACGUAUGCCAUUUUCCUUACAAAAAUUUGUGAACUCGUGUGAUGUGAAUUCUCCUCCACGAUCAGUGCGAAGACAUCUUAUAUAUGAACCAGUUUCUUUCUCAACACAACUCUUAUAAUUCUUGAAAGUGAUGAAAGCUUCUGACUUCUCUACCAAGAAAUAAACCCAGGUUUUUCGGCUAAAAUCAUCAAUGAAAGUGAUCAGGUACCUUUUCUUGCUAUUUGAAGUGGGGUUGAUUGGUCCACAGAUGUCUGCAUGCACCAGUUGAAGAAUCUGAGAAGCCCUUCACGUGCUUUCUUUUGGAAAUGGAUUUCUUCGUUGUUUUCCUACCAAGCAGUCGUCACACACUUUUAAAGGAGCUUGAAAUUGUGGCAGUCCAUUCACCAGUCUUUUCUGCUGAAGAGUCUUCAAGCCGUUGAAGCUUAAAUGUCCAUAUCUAAGGUGUCAAAGCCGAGCUUGAUCCUCUGUAAGAGAAGAAAGGCAGAUUUCUUCUUUUAGCAAUUUGUGGGCAGGCAAAAUAAACAUUCUAUUUAAGGACAUUGCAAUCUCCAUGAUUAAUCCUCUAUCUGGAUGAUAAAUCUUACAUUUCCCAUGUUGUAUGAGAAUUGCAAGCCCUUUCUCUUGUAGCUGUCCCACACUUAGAAAAUUAUUCUGCAAUCCCGGAACAUAAAACACUUCAGUGAUGAGCUGCACAAUUCCAUUCACAAACAUUCGUAUAUUUCCUUUUCUUGUUACUGCCAUGCUUGAAUUGUCUCCAAGCUUUACAGAAGUGCUGAAACUCUCAUCAAGCCUAGAGAAAAGCUCCUUCUUGCCACACAUAUGGUUGCUACAACCUGAGUCAAGAAACCAUAACUCCUCUUUGCUAGCUUCCUUGCCAUCNNNNNNNNNNNNNNNNNNNNNNNNNNNNNNNNNNNNNNNNNNNNNNNNNNNNNNNNNNNNNNNNNNNNNNNNNNNNNNNNNNNNNNNNNNNNNNNNNNNNGCAAUUAUAGCACUCAAUGGUAGACUUGUCAAAGCUUUGUCUACUUCUACCUCUUCCUCUUCCUCUUCCUCUAAAUCCACCACGACCUCGUCCUCUUCCUCUUGAUUAAUCUUCAUAGGUAACCUUCAAUGCUUGUUCUUCCACAAGAUGGCCAUUCAUGCGUUGUUCAUGCACCAAAAGACUGCUUUGUAGCACAUCAAUGGAUAAGGUGUCUAGAUCAUUAGACUCCUCGAUAGAGCACACAACAUAGUCGAAUUUAGGAGUCAUAGAUCUUAGAAUCUUUUCAAUGACCACAACAUCCUCCAUUUUCUCACCAUGAACCCUCAUUUUGUUGGCUAUAGUAAGGGUUCGAGCAAAGUACUCAUUCACAUAUUCUCCUACCUUCAUGUUGAGCAUCUCAAAUUCCUUUCGAAGAGCUUGUCGUUGUGCGCGCUGCACCCGUGCCGUCCCCUGGUACUUCUGCUUCAAAGAGUCCCAAAUGCUCUUUGCUGUAUCUUUGUUCAGAAUGGUUUCUAGGACUGAUCGAUCAAUGGCUUGGAAGAGAUAAUUUUUAACCUUCAAAUCCUUCAGUUUUGCAUCUUCAAUCACCUUCUUUUGCCCUUCAGUGAGUUCUACCCCUGCUUCUGCUAUAGGGAUCUCUUGUUCUAUCAGGUUCCAAUAUUCCUUCGAGCGCAAAAAAUUCUCCAUAAGCAUACACCAAUGAUCAUAGUGUGCAUCAAGUUUUGGAAUUGCUGGUUGCACAAAGUUACUCUCAGUUGCCAUCCUUACUGCUACACUCUUAGAAGACUGCUGCUUCUCAGGUUUCUGCUAGUUUUGAUCAGGCCCGGUGAUUGCUGGUUUCUGCUCCUUUUGCUCUGAUACCAAAUGUUAAGAAAUCUUUAAAUUGAAUUAGAAUUUACUGGCUUAUAAAUAGCCUUACAAGAUAACUCAAACAGAGCUGGAAGUAAUCCACAUCUAAAAGAUAACUCAAACCGAGCUGGAAGUAAUCCACAUCUAACAGUCCUAGAAACUUGGUUUAUAACUAAAGAAAUAGAUAAACCUAAAAGCACAUCCCUUAUUAAUAGGAAAAGCUAUCAAAUCCCUAACAAACUACCUAAAAAUGAGUACUUUAACAGUUAUUAGCUAAUGAUAGCAUAGUAGUGGCUUCUGAUUUGGGUUUUAUCGAUUUAAAAUAUGUCAAGAAGUAUUAGGACAAAUAAAUACUAAAUAAUAAGCCCAACUAAUCCAUGAUAAGUACUCAACCUCAAAUUAAACCAAACGUACCCAUGAUAAUCUCAUUAUAACAAGGAUGAAAAUAUAAAUUUUUACCAUAAUUUUUAUUAAGACAAAUAAAUACUAAACAAUAAGCCCAACUAAUCAACCUCAAAUUAAACCCAAGAAAGACCAGAUGGUUGAACGGCUGUGAUGAACCGUCGGUUUGAGCCUGUAUUCUUUUGGCCAAAAUUGGUCAUACUGCUGGGCUUCAAAUCUGGGAAGUUCACCAGCCACAUGCAGCUGGUGGGUCAAGCCAACAAUACAAAGGCAUUUUAUUCUCUAUGCUUUUUGAUGUGGGACUGUUUUGAAAACUGGGAGAAUAAAAUGCAACAUGGGGAUUCGACCCCACAACAUUAAGCUUAGAAAGUCAGGCCUCCCACCAUUACGCUAUUUAUGAAUAAAAAAUAGAUUCUUCCCAAAAAUUUUAUAAUAAUAAAAAUGCAAAUAAUUUAAAGUAAAAUAAUAUAAUUAUUUUAAAACCAUAAAAUAAUUAAAUAUAUAACUUUUAAUAUAUAUAUAUAUAUAUAUAAAUUAAAUGACUUCACAUUUAAAUAUUAUAUAUAUUUUAUUUAAUAAAAUGUUAAAAUAUUAAUGCAUCUAUAUACUAUAUACUAAUUUGAUAAUAUUAAACAAAUAAAUAUUAUUAAUUUUAAAUUUCCUUACAUAUUUAAAUUUUUAUAAAAAUUUUAAAUUUUAAUAAUAUAUAAAUUACAUAUUUAUAAUGUUACCGAUUUGACUGUGAUUCUAUCAUCAGUUCAGUGAACCGUGAAUCGAUAACUUUUUCGACUCAAUGACCGGUUCGAUUUUGAAAAUAUAGAUUUUUACAAAUAUAUCUUGAUAUAUUGGUAAAAAAUUUGACACUAUAUAUAUAUAUAUAUAUUAAAGUUAUUUGAAGGAAGAAAUUAAUAUAUAUGUGUACAUUAGAAAAUAAUAUAUCAAAUUUAAAAACAUAUUAUAAAUAUCAAUUAAGAUUGUUGACUUACUAAACCAAUACAAUAUUUUAUUCCAUUUAAAAAAAAAUUAAAGUUCCAACCAUCCUCCACAAACUUUAAAACUUCAUAAGUAAAAAUAAAAUAAGCAAAAAAUAAGGUUUUAAAAAUUACCACUUUUAGUGAGUCAGUAAAUAGGACGUAUGUCCAAUCGUUUUUCACAUUAUGGACAUUCACUAGAAUAUGGUAUAUAUAUUGGAACCCUGAUAACCUAUGCAUUUUGUUAUUAUUGCCAAGUGGAGGAUCCAUUAAUUUGAAAUAAAUGAACUCUCGCAAUUUUCCUUCUCAAGCUUAUCGCCAUUUCCUUCUUUAAGAGAUAUUGGAUCAGAUGAGACAUUUCUUUCUUUCUUCUUGGUUGACUGAUAUAUGCCCACUCUUGCCUUUGGUCUGAUCUCAACUCCUCAUGGCUAAGUAAUUUCAAUCUAGCAAGCUACUGCAUGCUUAGGAAAGACAACGGGGCAGGUUCGGGAUGGGUCGCCCCCAUCCCAAUCCCGCUCCGUUUAUUCAAAAUAAUUCCCAUCCCCAUCCUAUUAAAAAAAUUAAACGGGGCGGGGAGGGUAUGAUAAAUUCUCAUACCCACCCUACCCCGCCCCGUUUAACUUUUUUUUGAAUUUUUUUUUAAAAUUUUUAAUUACAUUAAAAUAAAUAUAUUUUAUAAAUAAUUAAAUAAUUAUAUUUUUUAUAACUUAUUUUAUUAAAUAAAUCCAAUAAGCUACUGCAUGCUUAGGAAUGACAAUGGGACGGGUUCGGGACAGGUCGCCCCCAUCCCAACCCUGUUCUAUUUAUUCAGAACAAUUCUCAUCCCCAUCUCAUUAAAAAAAAUUAAACAGGGCGGGUGGGUAUAAUAAAUUCUCAUACCCGCCCCGCCCCGUCCCGUUUAACUUUUUUUUUUUUCAAUUUUAAUUUUUUUUUUAAAAUCGAUUUAAAAAAUUUUAAUUACAUUAAAAUAAAUAUAUUUUAUAAAUAAUUAAAUUAUUAUAUUUUUUAUAACUUAUUUUAUUAAAAGUAUUUUAUUAUUAUCUAUAUAUUAAAAAUAGUAAAAUAAAAAUUAAAUUAAAUAAAUUGUAAAAUUUAAAUUAAAUUUAAUUUUAUAUAUAAUUGGGGCGGGGCGGGGCAGGACGGGAUAAUACCCAUACCCGCCCCAGGUUUUUUAAAAAAAAUCUCAAACCCGUCCCAAACCCGUUUAUUAAAAUUGAACCUUGUCCCAAUAGGGACGGGACGGGACGGGUGCCUGAAAAAACUUGUCUCAUUGUCAUCCCUAUGCAUGCUCCACCCCUAAAAUAUGUUAUGAAAGUUAUGAAAGAUGCCUCCACAUACUUACAUGGUUCAAAGCCAUGAUCAUAAUUACAUGGUUCAAAGCCAUGAUCAUGGUCAUUGAGUCAAAGAAUCUUGACCUUCAUCAAAUUUGGAUUCAAGUUAUUCACUCAUAAAAUUUAAAAUAUGUAUCUAUGGAUGGUAAAGUUUUUUGAAUGAUUAAUACAAGAAAUUAGAAAGGAAAUAUUUUGUAUUUCCUAAUUUGGUUUUUUCAAAAAUUGUUUUUAGUGAGUUUUCAAAUUGUGUUUAUUUUUAAAUUGGCAUUUGAUUCUAAAAAGAAUUUUUAAAACAAUUUUUUGGUAAGUUUUAAAAUUUGUAUUUGUUUUUAAAUUGGUAUUUGAUUGUAAAAAACAUUUUGUUUUAGAGUUAAGAAACUCUCCAUAAGUUUAAAAAGGAUUUUACAAAUAUAAAUAGAUAUGUGUUUACGCUAAGAGAAUAUAACCAUCAAAACUUUAUUUUAUAAUUCUUAAACUUUUAAGACCUUUCUUGAAAGUAACUUUCUACUAUAAGAAAUGUUAGAGAUUUUAUUAUGAAAUUUUGAUAAGGGCUUUAGAGGAUCCACUAAGAGUGCAAGGAUAUGAAAAAGAAAUGUAUGUGUUGACGAUAUAAGAUAUUAAGAAGUAUGCGUAUUCGAGUAGAUAAAACUAUAUCCUAUUUUUUCAUAAUUAAUAGAUUAUUCAACGGUUAGUAGACUACAUGUGAUUUUUUACACCUGGUAUGUUGUUAGGUGAUUUUUUACCCUAUGCAUAGCCUGAAAUCAAUUCUAUUUAUCUGUGAAUGAGAUUUUUACUCUUACUAAAAAAUUAAUAUGAAGGAAGAAACUUAAUAUAGGUAAGAAAAAUCUUAAUUUAGGGAUUAAUUUAGGUACUAUUUAGUAUUUAUUUCUUCUCUAGGCAGUCUCAUUAUAUUAAGAUUAGGCAUAUUUUGCAGCCACCAAUGCUGGUGGUACUCCAAAUUGGUUGCUAGAUUCUAGAGCCUAGCUCUCAUCACGUAUCUUUGAUCUCCAGAAUCUGGCCACACAUUUUGAGCACGAUGGCGUUGAUGAUAUUAUUCUUGGAUAUGGUAAUGGUACAUAAAAUACACUUACAUGGGCUCUGCUCUCCUUCACACACCAUAGAAGAAUUCAAUUUAUAAAACGUCUUGUUUGCACCUUUCAUUCAUCGCAAUUUCCAGUCUCUGAACCCUACAAACGAAACAAUGCCUCAAAUUGAAUUUUACCCACAUUCUUUUUCUGUGGAAGAUUUGACCAUGGGGGCAUUCCGGUGCAAGGAACGAACAAGGGCAUGCAACAGAUAUGAGUGGCCCUCUCACACUCCCUUGCUGCAACACCAAUGGCUCUCACUAGAAUUAAUUAUAACGACUUGAGAAGAUUAGGUCACCCAAAUAGCAGGCUUUGAAGUCAUUUAGUUUCUUCUCAACUCAUCCAUAUGUCAUCUACAGAAUCGGUUGAUGAGUUCUCUUACUAUGUUUUCUUCUUUGAUCACCACAGCAAAUAUAUGUCAUUGCAUCCCAUGACUCCAAAAUCUGAUACAUCCACCCAUCGCAUGUACACCUCAAGACAUCUAGUCUUUGUUGGAAAUAUAUUUCCAUUUCUUGAUUAUCUUAACUCCACAUAUUCUAUUUGUACAACUCAAGCUUAAAAAAUUCCCCGUUCUAUGCUCAAAAUUAUGUAAGUUAACUCUUAUUUGAAUUGGAAUAGUUACUACUUUUAAUGGGUGGAUAAGUGGGAUGUAUGCCCAAUUGUUUUCCAUAUUGUUAACAAUAUUCAACAGAAUACACAUGUGGUCUCUGUUGAAAAUAUAUUUUCAUUUCUUGAUUACCCUAACUCCAUAGAUUUUGUUCGUAUAACUCAAAUUUGGAAAAUUUCUCAUCCUAUGCUCAAAAUUAUGUAAGUUAACUCUUGUUUGAAUUGCAAUAGUUAUUACUUUUAGUGGGUGGGUAAGUGGGAUGUAUGUUCAAUUGCUAUUCAUAUUAUCAAUAACAUUCAACAGAAUAUACAUGCAGUCUUUAUUGAAAAUAUUUUUUCAUUUCUUGAUUACCUUAACUCCACAUAUUUGAUUCGUAUAACUCAAGUUUGGAAAUUCCUCAUCCUAUGCUCAAAAUUAUGUAAGUUAACUUUGUUUGAAUUGCAAUAGUUAUUACACUUGGUGGGUAAGUGGGAUGUAUGUCUAAUUGUCUUUCACAUUGUCAACAAUAUUCAACGAAAUAUACAUAUAGACUUUAUUGAAAAUAUAUUUCCAUUUCCUGAUUUCCUUAACUCCACAAAUUCUAUUCGUAUAACUCAAGUUUGGAAAAUUCCUCAUUCUAGUUAUUACUUUUAGUGGGUGGGUAAGUGUGAUGUAUGUCUAAUUGUUUUCCACAUUAUCAACAAUAUUUAGUUGAAUAUACAUGUAGUCUUUGUUGAAAAUAUAUUUCCAUUUCUUGAUUACCUUUACUCCACAAAUUCUAUUCGUAUAACUCAAGCUUGAAAAAUUCCUCAUCCUAGUAAGUUAACUUUUGUUUGAAUUGCAAUAGUUACUAGUUUUAGUGAAUGGGUAAGUGGGAUGUAUGUCCAAUUGUUUUCCACAUUAUCAACAAUAUUCAACGGAAUAUAUAUGUAAUCUUUGUUGAAAAUUCAUCAUCAUGCAUUUAAAAUUAUGCGAGUUAACCCAUUAUUUGAAUUGCAAUAAUUACUACUUUUAAUGGGUGGGUAAAUGGGAUGUAUGUCCAAUUGUUUUCCACAUCUGUUAUUAUUGCUAGUUGGAUGAUCCAUUAAUACGAAAGAAAGGAACUCUUUAUAUUUUCCUUUUUAGGCCUAUUGCCCUUGAACUUUUUAAGAGAGCUUGGAUCAAAUGAAACAUUCCUUCUUGGUUGGUUGCUGAUAACCUAUGACCAUUGGCUUUGACCUAAUCUCAACUCCCAUGGUUGAGUAUAUUUGAUCUAGCAAGCUGCUGUCUGUCCCAAUCCUAAGUGUUGAACACUUUGUUAUAGGUUGGUGUUAUAAAAAAUAACGUAAAUAAUAAUUUGUCUUGAACACAAAACUAUAGUAGUUGAAUGAAAUAAACGUUGUUUUUCUUUAAUUAAAUAGACAUGUGAAUUUUUUUUCUUAAAUCAACGGGUAAAUCAAAUAGAAUAAAUAGGUAAAAUAUAAAAAUUAAGACAUCAAAUUUUUGCAUAAAAAAACCUCCACUAUGAAGAGAAAAAAAACAAUAUGACCGAUCAAAAUCUUCCAUUAUGAAAAUAAUGGAUACAUCAAUUCUUCUCUAAAAAAAUAUACUAGAGUUUUGCAACCACCAAUGGAAGUAAAAACCAAAAUUGGAUUAUGCAUAUAUAAGACCUGUGGACCCUGCAUUUCGAACGCUCGAAUGCGUUUCCCACUCGAUGGCGAAACUCGAUUUUUAUUUUGAAAAAUUGAUUUUUAUUGAUUAUUUGAAAAUGACUUGGAGUCGCCACUUAUUUUUGUUUUAUUUUUAAAAGGGUAAACAAAAUAAGAAAGAAAAACCCUAAGUGUGACUCCUUAUUUGGAAAAGGUGAUCUACGAAAAACCGGAUCGGGUUCGGGGGUCAGGUUACUUAUCGGGAAGGUACGGUAAAGACCGUAGCACCCCUCUAAGUCCCUAAAGUCGGGUCUCUACUAAUAGAAUGAAGCUGACAUGGCAGCCAAUGAGAAAAUCAAUGAAUACUCAAAUCGAUCAUGCACGUAUGAGAAUUAAAAUAAGCGUAGAGAGUGACCAUGAUGUGAGAAGCUACGUACCUGGGUGGCAAAUCGAUAUGCGCUAUCAAGAGGGGGUUAGUGAACCAAUAUAGUAUGAAUAUACGCGCAUCACAAAGCAGAACAAAUCAAUCUUGCAUGACAAUCAGAUCAAUCAAUCAAUCAUGAAUCACAUAUGUAGGGCCCCCACCAAAACCCGUUUAUUUUUGCAUGAAUUAAUUCCAUAAAUUCCAUUAUUCGGAAUUACGGAAUUUAAUUCUUGCCUAUUUUUAAAACAUUUUAAAAGAAAACGAGAAAGAUAUGGAAAAGAAUUGCCGAAGAGAAAAUGACAAUAUGUUUUAUGGAGAAUGGGAUUUUGGAACCUAGAAACUCUGAGAAUGAAGUUAAACAUGGAGUUGGAAUUAUUUGAAAAUCGAAAUUUGAAAAGUUAUUUACAAAAUAGACUUUGAAAAAUUAUUUGAGGAAUAAGAGUGGGAAAUCAUUUAUAGGAAUAAAAUAAGGAUGGAAAGAAUAGGAGGAUGGCACGUGACAUAAAGGUGUUCAUGCAUAAUGAUGUCUUGCACAUGGGCCCGAGGGGCACCUGAUGUAGCUUGUGGGAUUGAUGAUAUCAGCUGAUAUAUUCUCUGACUUUCCCCUCUUGGUGACCACCAUAUAAACCAUGCAUGCCUUCAAGCAAUCUGAUAUUUGCUUCACAAGCAUAACAGAUGCAGCACACACCAUCGUCACCAUUUUUUUCAUCACAGGUUGUGCUCUCCACUUCCCAUGACUUGAUUUGGCUGAUAAGGAGACUCGAGAAUUGUUAUAACUGGGCAAGUUUAGCGAGACACGUGUCUCCUAGUCAUUGGUGAGACUUUUUUAAAAUACGGCAUACUCUUCUUUAAUAAUCUCCCCAGAUUUCCUCAUCCAGAUGGUCAUUUGCUUGCCGACCAAGGACCACUCACAUGAAGCUUCCUUGAUUUUCUUCUUCAAAAAUUUCCUUCUCAAUGGUCUUUCCAAUCCUGUGACUUCCAGAUAUACUCUUCAUCAUCAUUUGUGCUUGGUAGUGACGAUCACCUUCUCAAACACCAAGUAAGCCAAGUAGAAUCCUAUACCAAACUGUCCAAUCACGUUCUCGUCAAAGCCAGCAGCUGAAACUUCCACAAACUCCUCACGCAGGCUGCAUGGUGUGAAAUACGGGCGUAAAAGGUUUGGCAUAUAUGAGUAUCUUUAGGGAACCGGGUAGUGGGAAUGUGCCACGUGGCCACAAAGUGGCCAUGCAAAAGCAUUUUAUUCUUGGUCUGGGACUAAUGCAGUUUCGUCCCUGUUGCUUUGCUAAAGAUGGAUCCAAAGAACACUACCAGAAAACCCCAUGUAGUAUGUGCACCAUUUCCAGCACAAGGGCAUGUGAUUCCCAUGAUGCAACUAGCCAAACUUCUAAACUCGAAAGGGCUUCUGCAUCACCUUUGUCAACACCGAGUUCAAUCAUAGGCACUUGAUUCGGAGCAAAGGAGAGGACUGGGUUAAGGGCUUUGAUGAUUUCUGGUUCGAAACAAUAUCAGAUGGAUUGCCACCGUCCAAUCCAGAUGUCAACCUAAAUCCCACUAUGCUCUGUUACCACAUUCCAAAGCAGUGUUUGGCUCCAAUGCGACACCUGAGGUUCAGUCCUGGACUGCCUCAGCUUAUGGCUUCAUGGCAUAUCUGCAGCACACUCAUAGAAAGAUGGCUCAAUGCGCUGCCAAAUGAGCAGGGCAUCUGCCUUUCGCAAGCAUCUCAGCCAGCCGUCAUGAUAUUGCUCGCAUCACACCAAACCCAGCCAUUUAAAUCAACUGCUAUCUCAAAGGAAAGCCUCUUCCCAAGGGCCUUAAGGACUAGACAUGUUGAUGAGCUCAAACAUGUAGCCGUCUUUGAGGGGACCAAACUCUGUUGCUUUCCCACUGGCGUCAGUGCAUGAGGGCUCAGGAUUCACAUUCUUGAAGGCUCAAUAUCGCUUAAGAAGUUUCAUGUAAAGCCUAUAUGCCGCUGGAUACAACCGACGAUUUGGAAUGACAUUGCUAGAGAGAAAAGCUAAGACGAGCAUGGGCAGAGCGAUCCUUGCGGAGAUGGCCUUCUUGAGGAACUCCCACGUGACCAGCACGUUGUUGACCCAGCAGAUAUGAGACACCAGGAGGUGCGCGAGCUCCGGUGACGACAGCGAAGUCAGAUAGAAAGAAGAAGAUAGAGAGAAAGAGAGAGAGUUUUAUUGAAAAAAUUUAAUAAUAUGCAAUACAAUACCUCUGCUAUAUAUAUAGCAGGGAUUAGGAAAACAGAGAGGCUUACAACAAACUCAACAAACUAAACUAUUAGUUGUUAAGCCGUUUUGCUACUUUUGCCUAAUUUGCUCCCUCAAAUGAAUCCUCCGGGAACCUCUGAACCUUCCACCCUCUGGGAACCAUUGAUUUGCUCCCUCAAAUGAAUCCUCCGGGAACCACUGAACUCACACCAAGCUUAAUCUCCAUUCUUUAGAUCAAGAGAAGUAACAGUAAGCUUCCCACAUAGCUUGUCAAAGAACCUGAAAGAUAAAGGCUUUGUUAACACAUCUGCAAUUUGAUUAUCAGCUAGUACAUGCACCAGC
rnacentral:lncRNA from 1 species